CGGAAGAUAGCAUUAUUCCACAAGCCUUUUUUUUUUCCCUCCAGAGAGGGGUGGAAGAAGUGAGAGCUGAGAAGACUGCAUGACAAAAAUACACAAACCAAAAAUAAAGUAUGAAUGUGAUGAAAAGAUUACCUACCUUCUCUAACAAAUGAGAAGCUGAAUAAUUGCUCCAUUAACUUCAAACGUGGAUAAUGAUAUGUCACGACCCAAUUUCUCGAGCCAUGAAGGCACCUACUAUAACCCAUCAGUAGGUAAGCUAAACCACAACCCAGAACCACACAUACUGGGUGUGAGGGUAGAAGAAACUAAACAAGACUAAGAAAAAAUACUAUAACAACAUAAGCAAACCAAAACAUAAAUACAAUAAAGGAUCCCUCCCAGAACCUGGAAGUCACUAAUACAGAGUUAUCAACAAAACGAGUACAAGUCCCAACAGUGGACCACCGAAACUAGACUGUCUCGAAAAGUAAAAGACAAGUUUUUAUAUAAACAGAUGGAGACUGAAAUAGUACAAAACGCUGUGUGCUCACCCCUGUCUCCAGACCAGAAAUUCCCCAAACUCGAUCAACGCUGACUACCGGUGCUCGAACCUGCAUCACGAAAAUAGAUGCAGAGCGUAGCAUGAGUACCAAAAAAACACGUACCCAGUAGGCAUCAUAGGCCGACUGAACUAGAAAAGUAAAGCACUAUGAAAAGACGGAAUCACAAAACUAGAGGUCAAGAACAGAAGGCUAAGUAACACAAUAAUGCACACGAGUGUAUAAAAAUCUAACUAAAUUAAUAUAAAUAAGCUAACUACACCUAACUGGACCCACCAUAAGCCCAGAAGGUACACUCGUGCACAAGUUUAAAUAAAAACCCGAACAGACCCCCAUAAGCCCGACAAGUACACAAAAUAACUAUAACUUAAGGAGAAUAAAACUCGAGGCCAAAGAACACCGAAUCAAAAAGUAAAAUCUGACGGUACGGAGGUCGGGCCUUGAACCGGACACUCACCAGAAUUACACAAGUAGCCAAUUGCAAAAUAUAAGUAACUGAGGUCGGACCUCUAACCGGAUGCUCUACAUACUUGAGGCCGGACCUCUAACCGGAUGCUCUACAUAAGUAUGUGGAUGUUCGAGGCCGGACCUUAAAUCCGGAUACCCGACAAAGAUGUCGAUAUAGCUGCUGAAAGAGUCUUUAUCUAUCCAUAAUCAUAUAAACCCGUGGAACACCAUCCAGACUUAGCUAAUCAAUGUAAGUCCUUAAAGCUGAAUCGAACUCAACUUUGAAUCACGGAGCGGAAAUCAUUGUCACUGACGUAACUCAAGAAGCCGUAACAUCGAAGAAAUAAGAGUAACUAUCGCUAGAGCAAGCUCAUCGUCUUUUUAAAUACCCAACUAUCAGACUCAAGUCUGCUACAUCAGUCUACAAGGAUUUAAGCCGGCCGAGCGACGUCGAGGCUAAACUAAGUCCUACCGACUUUGAAUCAUGCAUUUCUAAGGAAAACCCUAGUCAAACCUAAACUAAGGCCCAACAUACUUCUGACAACCAGUAUUCAAACAUACAAAUAAUUCAUAUAGCAAAGAAGGUCAAUUAAUAACAAUAAACAUGCUCACAGUUACCCGAUAAUUCUCAGAAAAAGGGCGAAAAUAUGAUUCUUAACACCUAUGGAUGAUCCAAUAACUACCCAAUCCAAAUUCCAACUAAUCAACAUGCAUUCACAUGUUCGAGUUCAAUCUAAGAAGAGAAACAAUAGCCUACCUGAACGCAGAUCAGGCGCGCUCCAAAAUUCACUCCCCGGAUCUUUUACUUUCUAAAAGGCCACGAAACGUUGAUACACUAUCAGAAAUAGAGUCACAAAGUUAUUACAGUCAUUUAAACACUAAAAUCGCAAGAAACGGAGACGAGUCAAUUUCACGGUCAAAAUGGAAAAAGUGGGAUCCGCGUUGAGAAAUCUCGAAUUAACUCCAAAUAAAAGUCCUAAAUAACUCUCGAAACUUGUAUACCAGAACGGAGCACAAUUCAGGACUCAAAACAGUUCCAACAUGAACAUGCAACAAAAGAACCCAAAUUCUAAGCUAAAAAUCAGCAACUAUGGCAGCAGCUACUUACAAGAUUUUACCAAAAAUAAAGCUCCAACAGCCAAAACCAACCACACCACGACGAUCCUCACGAAAAAACCCACAAUAUAGGCUCUUGAAUCACUUGAUUCGGACCUAAAAUGGCCAAGAAAUUACCUUCUAAAAUUUCCCAAAACUUGUGCUCGAAAAUGAGCUAUGACGGCAAUUAAAACCCAAAAAUUACCUCAAAUCGGGUCCCCAAAUCAGAUUCCAAGCUCACCAAUGCGUUGCCCUCGAAAAAUCUCACAACUUAGCCAGCCUUUUGAAUCGCCCAAUUUGGAGUUGUAUAGCUCAAGAUAUCAAGAUUUCAAAGUAAGACACAAAGCUGAAAGUUGGGUUUUUAUAAGGGCUGCAUCAGAUUCAGCUUUGCCUACUUUCUUUAAAGUCUCCGACGGGUGCUCGAAAUCCGUUCGGAACCUGAUAAAAAUAAAAUAGAUAUGCUACCCUACCAAAGUCGACAUUCCGGACUCAAAGGCGCCGUCGAAAUUUUCAUCAGAGGUCAUCUCGAUAAAAUGUGGGUCCCACUUCCAUUGGCCAUUUUAAGUCAAAAACCACAAAAGGGCUCGGAAAAAAUAUCAAAAACCUCAAAACCCAAAAGAAGGGUCAAACUAGACCAAACUCGACAUUCCGAAGCUAACCGCGCUGACGGAAUUCUCAUCCGAGCGCGUUUACUCAGAAUAUUGACUAAAGUCAAACUUAGCCUUUAAACUUGAAGUUAAAACGCCUAAUCCCACCAACUCACAUUGAAAACUUUGGGAGUCAUGUCGACAAUGCUACUAGACUAAAAUGACCCUUCCGGAACUGAUGGAAUCGUCAGAAUUGGAUUCUGAUGUCAUCUUCUUGAACUUUUGAUCGAAAAUGAUCGUUCAAGGUUCAUAAGCUCCAAAAAUACUAAAACUCACACAAUAACCAAACGAAUGACCGGGUGACCAAUCUGUCAGUCCCAACAAGUCAUAAAUGACUUGAAAUCGCUAUAGGAACGCUCUAAACGAUGUACAGAAGAUAAAACACUAAAAAUGACAAUAAGGGUCAUUAUAUGGUAGUACAGACAAAAUUGGAAGUUAAUGUCUAUGAAAUAUGAGAGAGCUAUUACACUAGCUUCAAGACUACUUUACUACAGCAGUGACCAAUUUUCUUCUACCCUCCUUAAAGUGACAACUAUCAUCAUCAUCAGCUCCACUGAAACUCCACUUCUGACUAGAAACUAAUCCAAAAAUUCCGUGCUAUGUUUGACUGAAAAAGAUGCCACAAGUCUCGGCUCCAACUAACUUUCCUUAAAAGAUCUUGAAAAGGAUACCACCAUGAGUGGCAAAGAAUGGAGCAAAUACAAGUGACUCAACUGCCAUCAGUUUGAUCAAAAUGUUGAGGGAUGGGCCCGAAGUGUCCUUCAGGGGGUCACCAAUGGUGUCGCCAAUAACAGCAGCCUUGUGAGGUUCAGAACCCUUUGGGCCGAGAGUCCUUGCAUGCUCUGAAGCACCAGCCUGAUAGAGAAAGCAAAUUUAAUAAACUCUAGUGUGUGCCAUGAAACACAUACAUAAGGGUAGAUAAAUCUAUCUUCUAUACCUCAAUAUACUUCUUGGCGUUGUCCCAUGCACCUCCAGUGUUUGAUGCAGAUAUUGCUAUCUGGAAAAGAUACACACAUGAGAUUUGGACAUGAUCCUUUAAAAAGAAAACAUAUUUAAACAGAAUCCUUGAAAAUCCAAACUCAUAAAGCGGAAGAACUGAUCAUACCUGUACACCGGAUACCAAAGCACCAGCAAGUACACCAGAAAGUGUCUCCACUCCAAAGAAAAUACCAACUAUGAGGGGUGUGAGCAUGACUAGGGCACCUGGUGGAAUCAUUUCCUUGAUAGAUGCAUCAGUCGAAAUCUUAACACAAGUGGCAUAAUCAGGUUUAGCAUGACCUUCCAUGAGACCAGGAAUAGUGUUAAAUUGUCUGCGCACUUCCUCAACCAUCUUCAAAGCUGCACUACCCACACUCUUCAUGGUCAUGGCAGAAAACCAGUAGGGAAGCAUGGCUCCAACAAUCAAACCAAUAAACACCUUGGGGGUCAAGACAUCAACCGUUGAAAUUGCAGCCCGACUAACAAAAGCACCAAACAGAGCCAGAGACACAAGUGCAGCAGAUCCAAUGGCAAAGCCCUGGAAAGAAAUGAAUGUCCACAGUUAGGGAAGGAAGAAAUGCUGGGAAAAACUCUCCAUUAUGCGAAUGCAGAAAAAGGAAAGCAUGACUAUAUAGACGAAAGACUAAGAUGCAUAAUAGAAAAAAAUCAAAAUGUCCAUAAAGAUUUAACCACCAUCCACUUGUUAACAACAAUGUAUAAGGAGAAAUUGAAAACAGAGAAUGAUCUAUAAGGGCUCACAAAAUGAAAAUCAAGACCAAUUUACAAACCUUUCCAAUCGCAGCAGUGGUAUUUCCAGCUGCAUCAAGGGCGUCGGUUCUUUCACGGAUCCGGUGGCUCAUGCCAGCCAUCUCAGCAAUGCCUCCAGCAUUGUCACUGAUAGGACCAUAUGCAUCAAUAGCCAAUCCAGUUGCAAUUGUGCUCAACAUUCCAAGAGCAGCAACUGCAAUACCAUACAUGGCAGCAAAAGAAAAACUGACAAAGAUAGCUAUUGCAAUGGCAAAGAUAGGAAUGAUGACAGAUUUGUAUCCAAGAGCAAGGCCAAAAAUAACAUUUGUCGCAGCUCCAGUCCUGCAAGAGUCUGCUACAUCUUGGACAGGGCUGCAAACAGAAACAAGAAGAAAAGCAAAAUAAGACAAACAUGAAGAUUAUCAACAUCACAGGCACAAAAUCAUAGAAUGCAGGCAGACUACACUUUUACCUGUAAGCAUUGCUAGUGUAGUACUCGGUGACAAAUCCGAUGAUAAGUCCAGCCCAAAGACCAACGGCCACACAUAAAAAGAGCUCCCUGCACAAUCAAAUCAAUCAAUUUAAUCAUUAAGUGCAUAUUAAUUACGUGAACACAUACUCAAUUCACUCAACGGACAAGAAAAAAGAAUAAAGAGACUUCGUCAACCUAAACAAUAUAUUCUUAAAAGAAUAGCUCACUUCUAAUUCAGCGGCAUUCAGCAAUGACCGGUGUCAGAUUCAAUAUUUAGUAUUGUCCAAAUGUUAAGUUGACACUCACCAAUUCUUGACAACUUUCUGAGUGCCAAAAUUAAAGAUGGUGAAGGAAGACGGAAGGCAAGUCCAUGUAACAAUUGCAAUUCCAAUUGUCAUAAGAGCAGUUGAUAUAAUAAGUUGGUGCUUCAGUGCUGGUUCAAUUUCUUUGACAGCCUUAAUUUCAAAAAAGUCAGUAGCAAAAAGGGUGGUUAUCAAACAAACAAGAAUCCCCAUGGAGCUUAUAAGCAGGGGGUAACACAUGGAUGUAAAAUCAUGUUCAAUUCCAAAAGACGAGAUGGAAGCCACCACAAGAGCAGCACAAGAUGACUCAGCAUAUGAACCAAAAAGAUCAGACCCCAUUCCAGCAAUGUCCCCAACAUUAUCCCCAACAUUAUCAGCAAUCACCUGCAAGGACAUUGAAAGUAGAUUAUUGACAAGAUUUCUUCAGGAGAGGGCAAAAUACACAUGAAGAGGAAAGUUUAGCUUACAGCAGGAUUUCUGGGAUCAUCUUCUGGAAUGUUCCUUUCAACCUUACCAACGAGAUCAGCACCAACAUCAGCAGCUUUGGUGUAAAUACCACCACCAACCCUACCGAAAAGAGCCAUUGAGGAUCCACCAAGUCCAUAUCCAGUAAUAGCCUCAAAAAGACCCUCCCAGUCAUCACCAUAGUAAAGCUUGAAGAGAUUAAUGGUAAUGUGAAGAACAAGGAGGCCAUUGGCAGCAAGGAGAAAACCCAUCACUGCACCAGACCUGAAUGCAACAAUAAAAGCUUUCCCAACACCUUUUCUCGCUUCCAAAGUUGUUCUUGCAUUUGCAUAAGUUGCAAUUUUCAUCCCUAAGAAACCAGAGAUAACAGAAGUGAUAGCACCAAGCAAGAAGGAUAUCGUGCUGAAGAUGGCAGUUGCAAGGGCUGGCUUGCACAUCUUCUCCUUGUUGUAAGUACAUGGCUGGCUCUUAGUGCUGAAACCUUCAACUGAGCCCAAGAAAAGGAAGAUCAGGAUUGCAAAAGCAAUCAUGAAGAUACCCACAUACUGAUACUCAGUAAAUAGAAAAGAUGUUGCCCCUGCCAUAAAAAAACAAUUCAAAUAUUAGAUAAAGCUAAAGAACAAAAGGUACCGUGCAGGUAGGGCUUUCUAGACAACCUGAUAUAUACAAACGCUUGUUCAUGAAGAAAGCAAGAUAAAAAAGGCCAAGACAAUGAGGAUAGAACCAUUGAGGAAACUUACAGCAGAACAAUACUACACUUAUGCCAUUGCAUAUGCUAGUUAAUUGUUAUAGAAUUUUGUUUGCACUCGUUAAGAACUUUGUUGGUAUUGCAUUGGAAAAACAAGCACACAAUGCCCAAAGUUAUGACAGGCUUUACACCCAGGUUGGUCUCUCCUAGUUAAUAUAAUAUACAUGGCAUAGUCCAAAAAGUACCAAAGUUCUAUCCAACAUUCAGGCAAACCACGUGAGGAAGUAUUAACAAGGGAUGAAUGCUUUAAGCAGAACUAAAGUUACAGCUUGUCUUAACAACUUUUUGAAGUAGUUUCACUCAGACAAAGUGCAAAGCAAAUCACGAUGGUUCAAACGGAAACCAUGCAAUAUAUUUCAUUGAGUUCACUAGUAUUGAGAAAAGACUACUGACCAGUCCACAACUAGGAUGAAUCUAGUGAAAAUGAUUAUGGACAACUAAAGGCUAAAGGUAAAGACAGGUUAAGAAAAUAGCAAUAUGUAUGAAGUGUAAAGUGAUGACAAAUUGAGUUCUAAAAAAAUUAUUAAGCAAAUUACAAGAUGAGCCGGGUUGGUUCAGCCUAUUAAAAAAACAUGAGCCAACAAGCUCCUUUUUUUUUACUAGUAUAGCUGUCAACUGACUUUUCCCGUUCUUCCAUAUUAGUAACAUAACUACGCAGCAUGAAGAUGAAAUAGGACAAUGUAUCAACAAAGUUACUAUUAAUAUUCUUCGAGAUCCAGCAAGCUGAUAAUAUUAAUAAUGAAUAAAGGUAGAUCCAGAGUCAGCCAUUACACCAAAGAGUUGAACAGAGCAACGUUAAAACGGUAGAUUCUAUCAGAAUAAACCCUAAACCCUCUGUUCGUUGUCCCAGCUAAUGCAUCUACAUUGUGUAGAGCACAAUAUAAUGUCAAACAGAAACAAACAGUUGUAGACUACAAAUAGCAAAAUAAAGCUAGAAAAUAUGUUGAUUUCAACAAGUAAAACAACACUAACUUCGGGCACGGCUAGGUUCAUAAUCAUGGAAUUUAGACGACGUGAAAUUCUGAACACUUCCUUUUCCAUGUCACAAAUUUUUUUUACUAAAAUGAGUAGAAAAAGAGCACAUAUAGAUAAACACGGGUGCAACUAAAUCUGAGAAGAACAUAAAGAGAUCCAUAUAAGAGCUUAUUAUUUCACCUUCAGAGAUGGCAUUCUGUAUGUCGGCGCACUUCGCAACAACGUUCUGGUCGUUAACUCCUUCCUCUUCUUCAAUCAAGUAGUCUCCAUAUCCAUUCUUAUUAUUGUUACUCGGAGAAGUAUCUCCACGUUCCGACGAGACUUUAACGCGCGAGACAACGUACCACUGGUAUAAAGAGAAGACGAUUCCAACAACGGCACACACUGGAAUCACUAUCUCUGUCCCUAGAUCUGGCAACAACGCCGAACCCAUCCUAUGAACGGAACCCUAAAAACCCCGCCGGAAAAUAGCGGCAAGAAAAUUAAAUGUAGAGUGAAGAACAACACGGCUUUUCGGAGGGUUUCCUAAGUAAGAGGAGCUUUAGCUACACUUCAUUAUAUACCGAGAAAAUAUGAGUAUUGUGAAAAGUGAAGGACUUUAUCAUAGUUAUGAUAAGCCUUCUUGUUUUAGCCGUUAGAUUGUAUGAUGAUUCAUGAUCUAAAGGAAUCAACGGUGUAGUGUAGAUGAAUCGGUGAUCGGCGGACUUGAAAGUAGAGCGGGAACUCUAUUCUAAAAAAAGAAAAAGAAAAGAGCUUUUUUUUCACGCAUCUUUAGGAUUAUUAUUGGAUAAGGAAUUAAACCCUUUAUAAUUUGUGGACUAAUCAAAUUAUUCACAAGAUAAUUACACAUUGCCACACUUAAGUUCCAUUAAGCUAAAAAAUCUUAUCCAAAUAAAUGGAUUGUUAACCAUGAAUAGUUCCGGAUUAGAACUUAUUUUGAAAUAUUGAUAUCUAUUGUUUCAUAAUGUAUUAUAGUGUAUUAUAUUUUUUUAUAUUGUAUUAUAUGGUAGAUAUAAUAUUUGACUAGAUUAAAUGUAUUGUUUGUUAUUGUAAAUAAUUUUUUUAUUGUCUGAUUUGACUGUAUCCUAAUUUAUAAAUUUAUAAGAUAUCUUUAAUUAUUAUAGGGUAUAAGGUUUGACUAGAAUUAAAUAAUAUAAGAUAAAUGGUAAAAUAACAUUAUAAAAUAUUAUGUAAAGAUAUAAUUCGAAAAAAAAAAGUAACAAUAAGAACACAUCAAAUUAGUUAUUUCGUAAAAUGUAGGAUAUCAUUGUUACGUAAUAAUGAAACUUAAUAAUACAAUAUAUACUUUAAGUAACAACUAAGAUAAAAAUUAUAGGUAUUGUAACUAUAUAUACAAUACAAUAAAUAAGAACAUACAAUAUAAUGGAUAAUCAUGAUUCAAACAGAGUGUGAGAAACUAUAAUGUUAAUUAUUUUUAGACCGAACUCAUAAACAGAUUCCUAAACUUGUUGGGUGUUUUUCCUCAUAUACCUCAGUUACUUCAUUUUCCUAUUGAAUCAUUGAACCACUCAUAAUUUAUUCCUUUUAAACAUUGUUGGUUGAUUUUGAUCGUCUUUUCUAUUGUAAAUGUCUUCAAUUGUAUUUGAAUUGUAAUGAUUUUGAUUGAAAAAACUCAAUAAAUUUAGAAAUCUUUUUAUGUAUUUGAUGUUAUAUUUAUAUAUGCCUUAAUUUCGAUUUAUAUUUAAGAAGAUUUAAAAUUAGAUGACGGUGCCUGACGUCCUCUUUGUGUUGAAUGGCGUGCACGCCUCUCAUCGGAUAUACCCUUUUUAUUAUUUCAAUUUUUAUUUUAUUUUUUGUUUGUUUUUAGAGAAUUAAAAAAACCACUUUUAUUUUUUUUAAUUAAAAAUUACCGUGAAUUUUGGUAACUCCAUGAAUAGUGGAAAGAUUAGUAAAACAAAAAAUGACACGUUGUAAACGGGGGAUGACAACUUAUAGCAUGCCUUUCGUAUCAAAAAAAGGGGUGUAUAAGUUUUGGGGUUAGGCAGAUUAAAUUUUUUACAUAAUUUUUUUUUUAAUUCAAAUAUUAUUUUAUGACAUAUUAAAGAUAUAAAUUUAUAUAAUUUGAAAUUAAAUAAAAAAUAGUAUUAAAUCAUGAUAUUAAGAUUAAGAUGGCGAUUGAUUAUGGUUUUUUCAAAAUUUUGAAUAAUAGAUUUGGUAAAAGUUUUGAUUAAGUUUCAAUUGUGUAUUUGGCUAACUUUUCAAACUUUUUUUUUUAAUUACGCAAAAUAUAAUUUAUGUUUCAUAUGAUUUUUAAAAUAUCAAAAAAAAUCCAAUCACAACAAGUAAACAUACUUAUCACUUCAAAUUAUGUAGAACUUUCGUGUGCUACGUUCUUUAAUAUCAUCACAAAUUAUAUGUUUUGGUAAAUGUUUACAAAUUUUGAAAAAAAUAUUAUAUAGUACAAAUCAAGUAAAAUAAAUCCAAAAGAAUAGAUGAGGUUUUCUAGAAAAUAAUACUAGUAUUUUUGGGAGAAGAUUUAAAAUUAUAAUAAGAACACCAAUUAACUUGUCCCAAAAAAGGUAAUUGGAUACCUUAACCUAAAUAACAAUAGUAUAUUAAGAUGUGAAAACUAAAUAAUUAAGAUUAUUCUUUUUCAAUCAUCUAAAAAUGCAAAACUUAUUUUUGUUUAAAAUUUAAUCAUAAAAAAAUUAUUAAUAAAAUAUCAAAUUAAUUUAAUCUUAUGUAAUAAAUACAAUAAAAAUAUAUAGUGAAUGGUUGAUUAUUGAUGACAAUAACUAAUAACAGUGGUUGAUAGUGAUAGUUAAUGAUAACAAUCGAUAAUUACAGUAAAUGAUAAUGAUAGUUAAUUAUGAUAACAAAUAUGUAGAUGAUUUAUGAUAUAUAACGAUAAUCAUUAUUUGUUAUAACAAUCAUAAUUGAAAAUAACGUUAACGAUUAUGUUACGUAUAAUAGCUAUAUAAUAGCGAAUACAAAUAAUGACCAAUAAUAGUGUUCUCAAGGGCAAUAAAUUGUAGCGACAAAUGAUAAUCUUUAACACUUUGUUUGGAUCAUUUUUACUCAUUAAUUGUUCCAUGUUAUAUUGUAUUGUAUUGUAUACUAUUAUACUAUAUUGUAUAUUAGAUAGUAAAUAUAAUGUUUGGCUAGAUUGUAUUGUUUAUUGUUGUAAUUUAUAAAUUUCUUUAAAUAUCCUUAAUUAUUUUAGGAUAGAAGAUUUGACUAGGUUUAAAUAAUUAAGGUAAAGGGUAAAAUGAUAUUUUGAACUAUUAUGUAAAGACAUAAUUGGAAAAAAAAAAAAGUAAUAAUGGAAACACACCAAAAUAAUUGUUCUAUAAAAUAUGAGUUUCUAUUGUUAAGUAACAACGAAAUUUAAUAAUACGAUACAAUAUAUUUUAAAUAACAAUCAAAAUAAAUAUUAUAAUUAUAGUAACAAUACAAUACUAUAUAAUUAGUGAUAAUGAUCCAAACACAGUGUAACCAACAAAUGAUUGCGGAAGGCCUUUGUUAUGAUCCUAAUAACUCACAAGCGUGUCGUCGCAUCUAUCAAUUGUUAUUGAACUUUGCGUUUAAACAAAUUCUAUCGUUACUCAUUUCUCAAUAAAAAAAUAUUCCAUUUGUUUUCGAUACUUUUUUUCACUUCACCAUUUAUUUAUUUACUUUAAUUUUGUAAAAUAUCAAUGUAAAAAUUAAAUUUUUAUAAAAUGAUGUAUUCAAUUUGAAUUAGGACUAUAUAAAGUGAGUUCAAUUUCAAUUAGGCACUUAAUCGUAAACGCUAUUUCAUAUCUAUAUAAAGGUUACUAUAUACUCUUAAUAUAUUCCCUUGAAAAGAUCAAGAAAUACGUCUCUAACAACUCUCGAAUUAUGAAUAUCAAAUUCAAAUUAUCUUAAUUUUAGAAAUACGUCACUAGCGUCUCUAAAAUUAUGUUGAUCAAGUCCAAAUAAUUAUAGUUUAUAAAAUAUGUCACUAAUGGCCCUCAAAUUAUGUAGAGUCCAAAUCAUUCCUAAUCGAGAAAUACAACACAAAUGGUACUCGAAUCAUAGAUAAAUAUCUUAUGAGAGAAGAAUCAAAUUCUACUCGUACUAUUAUUUUAUCAAUACAAUUAUAUUUCUUUAUAUUUUAUUUGUUUGGUUACUUUUAUUUUUUCAUUUGUUUGAAAUUUAUUGCAGAAAGUUACGCUUAGCUAAUUUUUCUAAUCGACACAUUUGAGAUAAUAAUAAUAAAAAAAUUAAUAUUUUUCUUAUUUUAAAAUCUCAAAAUUCAAUAUCUUCUAUAUAUAUUUUUAAAAAUCGUGCUUAACUUAAUUUAUAUAUUUAAACAAAAGUGAAUAAAUUCAUUAAUUCCAUAAUUAACAUAUAGUAGAUACUUUCGUUUAAAAAAAAUGACCUUAUUUCCUUUUUAGUCUGUUUAAAAAAAAAAAUUAUUUUUUGGUAAUAUCUUAAUUUCAGCUCUCUACGACCUAUGUGGCAUGUUUAAGACCACAAGACUAAAGGACAAUUUUGUACAUGUGACAUAACUUUAGUUCAGGACCAAAAAAUUCUAAAGUCUUAUUUAUUUUUUUAAAUUUCGUGUCAUGUCAAACUGGAUCAUAUUUUAUGAAACAAAGACAGUACUAUUAAUUUCACUAUCCUUCUCAUAUUUCUUUAUGAUUUUUCAUUUAUUAGCUAUUUAUAUUGAAAUUCAACUAAUUCAAAUUCAUUCAUUUAAGACCUCAUUUGAAGAAAAAUACUUCUUUGAUUAGUUAAAAAUUUAAACUCGAAAUCUUUGUGACGGUUAAAGUUGGCGUAUGACGUCGGCUUGUAUUGAGUAGCGUGCCUCUCUUCUCAUGGGAUAACGGAUAUGCCAAUUUUAUUAGCCUUAUAGACCUUUUAAGGAUGCCAAGUUCCAUUUUUUGUCCAUUGCAGUGAAAAUGAAUAUGUUAAUUGCAACCCCACCAAAAACAAAUAUGAUUAUUAUGAAAGACCUUUGUCACGAUAUCAGCCAACUUCCAAAUGUUUUGUUGCAUUUGGCAAUUUUUAAUACCAAUCGUACAAUUUUUGUUUCGAGGAUAUUUUAGUUAUUUUACCUUUUAAAUUUUUGGAUUGUGAAUUUGAGUAGAAAAGAAUAAAUGGUACAACAUGACAAUUUGUAAACUAAAUUGACAAAAAAUAGUUUAUUUUUUAUUUAUUGAAAAAAAAGUUAUUUUAUUUUUAUUUCUUUUAUUUUUCUCUAAAUACGUUUGAUUGCUUGAAAAGUUAAACUAUUUUUCUUCCCCUAAUGAUUUGCUUUCAUUUUUUCUUGAAAAGGUAAAGUAGGUAUAUUUAUUCCCUCUAUUUAGAACACGUUUGAUUGCUCAUCUUUUUUUUUCUUGAAUAAAUAAAAUUUAUUGUUUUGUUAUUCUUUUUUUAUUUCUCCUUUUUAUUUGUCAAUCAUUUUAUAAUAGAUUUUUUUUCUUUUUUGUCUCCUUUAUUUUUUUUGAAUUCUUUUGAUACGUAUAUUUGUUUCUCUCCCAAAUUUUUUCUGUUCUUCUUUUUAAUUCAGUUUGUUUAUGAAAAUCAAAUAUAACAAUGUGUUUAUUAAUGGAUGCUUCUAAUAAUAAUCUUUAUUAUAUAAUUUUGUUCUUGUACAGUUAAUUGUUGAAUUUCAUGAUUUGUGGAAUUGAAGUUUUUUUAAUUUUAUUUUUGUGUAUAUAUGAUAGUAUACAUUGUCUGCCUUAAAAAAAUUUAUUUUUGUGUAUAUAUGAUAGUAUACAUUGCUUGUCUUUAAGAGAGUCACACAUUAAUAUAUUUUGUGAGUGUUUGUGAUGAUUUAAUAAUGUAUGUGUGUUACUUCGAAUGGGUAAUUAUGGGUAUUUAUAAGUUUCAAAAAUGAGAUAUGAAUCGUGAAAUAGAGUUUUUCUAUACGUGUAACAAACAUCUAAAGCUAAUAUUAUGAAAUUUCAAACUUUUUCUUAUUUAUAACUACACUAGUCUCUGAUAAAAUUAUCAUAAUGUUCUACCUUAAAUAUUAAAUCAAUGGCGGAGCCAUAUGUAAUGAAGGGGUGUCGGUCGUUGAAAAAAUGCAAUGCGUAGCUAGAAUAAAAAUAUUUUAUAUAUAUAUUACAUAUUGACACUCCUUAACUUCUAUAGGAUUUUAUUUCUUUAGAUUUUAUUUUUUAUGUAAUAGAUAUUACAUAUUUUUUACUUCCCUUUAUUUUUCUCUAAACACAUUUGAUUGCUCUCUUUUUUUCUCGAAAAGGUAAAGUAUUUUUCUUCCCCUUAUUUUUCUAUAAACACGUUUGAUUGCUCCUUUUUUUUAUUGAAAAGGUAAAAUUUAUUGUUUUAUUUCUCCUUUUUAUUUGUCAAUCAUUUUAUAAUAGACUUCUUUUCUUUGUUUGUCUCUUAUAUUUUCUUGAAUUCUUUUGAUACGUAUAUUUUUUCUCUCUCAAAAUAUUUAUUUGUCAUUAUUUCUUAUGUGUCUGUAUAUUAUACAUUGACACUCCUUGGCUUCUACACGAUUUUAUUUCUUUAGAUUUUGACACCCCGUGGACAAAUUCUAGCUCCGCCACUAUAUUAAAUGAUACAAUAUUAGAAAUAUUUUAAAGAAAACUCAUUGAACUACUAUCUUCAUAUCAUGACUCACCUAAUUCAUUACGUACUAAAAGAUAUGACAGUAUACAUUGUUUACCUUCAAGAGAGGUACACGAUUUCAAAUAGUUUUUUGACAAUUUUUUUUUUUGGUGUUUGUAAUGAUUUAAUAAGUAAUGUGUAUUGGUCCGAAUGGAUAAUUACAAGUAUUUAUAAGUUCAAAUGUGGUAUGGAACAUUAAAUAGAGUUUUUCUAUACCCGAAAGUAAAGUCUAUAGCCAAAAUUAUGAAUUUUCGAAGUUUAUCUUUUUUACAACUACACUAGUCUAUUAUAAAAUGGGUAUGAUGCUUUACUUUAAACAUUAAAUGAUAUUAAACUGGUGGCAUUUGAAAGAAAGCUCCUUGACCUACAAUUUUCAUAUGUAAUGUCUCAUCUAAUUCAUUACGUACUAAAAGAUAUGGUAGUAUACAUUGUUUGCUUUUUAGAGAGGCACGUAUUGAUUGCAUGUAGUUUUUUUUUUAUCAAAUUUGUAUUUGUGAUGAUUUAAUAAAUUAUGUGUUAGUUCGAUUGGGUAAUUAUGAAUAUUUAUAAGUUCAAAGGAGGUAUGGACCAUAAAAUAGAGUUUUUCCAUAUCUGAAACUAACUUAAAAAAUCAAAAUUAUGAACAUUCGAAGUUUCUCUCAUUUACGGUAGUCUCGAGUAAAAUGGUCAUAAUGCUUUAUUUUAAACAUUAAAUGACACAAAACAUGUGGCAUUUGAAAGAAAACUUAUUGACCUACAAUUUUCACAAGUUAUUUUUCACCUUAUUCAUUACAUACUAAAAGAUAUGAUAAUAUACAUAUUUACCUUCAAUUGCAUGUAGUUUUUUUACCAAAAUUGUUUGUGAAUAUUUGUGAUAAUUUAACAAAUUACAUGUAUUAAUUCGAAUGAGUAAUAGAAAAAGGGAUGAUAAUUUGUUCUUAUAUCUCUUAGAGAAGAAUGGGCCAGGCCCAUUUUAAACUCUGCUGGCCCUGGUGGGUUGCUGCGGACCCCAUCUAAUUUAGCCCAAAAAAUUCCCAUUGGUUGAUUUGGGCUACUAAUGAAUAUUUAAAGAAUAUUCCCUUAUCUCCUCAAAUUUGACACCAUUGGCCCAAUAAUACAUUAUGAUGCUCCAAUUUAAUCGAUAAGUUUGCAUUAUUAUAAUAGGAAUCUUAAUAUUUUUAGCCAAUUAAAUUAAAAAAUCAUCAUUGCCUCAUCGUAAUCAUUUUGUAGCUAUCAUAUUAUUGUAUAACAAAGGAUAUAAUCAAUGUAUACUUCGCAAGGAAUUAAGGCUAAAAUUAAUUUUUUUAAUAUGAACUUUGUUAGGCUGUUGCAUGGUGUAAAAACUUAAAAGUAAUAUGACACGUUUUAUAUUUGUUCAAACAAUAUAAAAUAGGUGAGUCUUAAAAGUGAUGAUCCAGUUGAAAUUUUACGAUGUUAUGAUAAUAAUGUAAGGAGUUGUAUGAUUGGAAAUAAAAGUUACUAUAGGAUUGAUAGUAAUAUAAACGACAGAAUAAGUUGUUUAAAACUUAACAAUCAAAUAAGUCACCAAAAUUUUAUCACGUGAACAUUCUCGAAAAGGUUGAAAACAACGUUAAUGGAAGUCAUAGGAAAGGUGUGUAAAGUCGAACUCACAUUACGUUAGCAAACUCAAAAAAAAAAUAAAAAAAAAAUGAAGAAUUAAAGAGUAGAUAGGAAACAAUAAUAAAUUGCCGUUGAGGUUGGCCGGCUGCCAGCAUUAAUGACCAAUUCCCCAAUUUUACUCUAUUUGUUGCAAAUUGCAAUUAGAAAUUCAAUAUAGUACUAAUUUUAUUCCAUAAAUAUAUUAAGUACAAUAUUUAUUAAAUUCAUAUAAAUAUAACUUGCUAUAUGAUUGAUCCUCUUGAAAAUAAUUGGAUAAGUAUGUCCACUGAGUGGAUAUACUUAAUGUAAAUUUGAUUAGAAAAGUUUGAAAUAAUUUAUUUAAAAUUGAUAAUUAAUUAUAAGAAUAAGUUAUUCCUAAUCUCUAAAUGAAAUAAUCAUUAUGGAGUAAUUUUUUACAGGAUAAAGUAAUUAAAAUAAUAAAAAUAUCAUCACAAAUUCUUUUCACGCAUCACUUUUAACUUUAUAUAUUAUGCAAUUUAUAUUAUUCUUAAUACAACAUAUUAAAAGCAAUAUUGAGAUAUACAAUUAAAUAAUUUAUAAAAAUAAAAUAAAAAUUUAAGAUAUACACCAAUCAUAUUUCUACUUUAGAGAAAUCAUUUUUUUGUAGAUGGGCUAAAAAAGGUAAGCUAGACAAAGUGGGUAAUAAAUUAGAAAUAAAUUUUCUUGGAAAAAAAUAACCACCCAUGACCCAUCAUAUCGUUAUCAAAGUCAACACUCUCCCUUGUUCUUAACGUAAUCUUUAAUAUUUAAACAUAAUAUAAAUUAUUCGAUCGUCUUUUAUUUUAUUGGUUUAAUUUUGAUUUUAUAAAUAUUUUUUUUUAAAAUUUAUGUUUUUGACAAAUUAAGAUGAGUAGAUCUUCUUAGGAAAAAAUUAUGUAAGUAAUGUAAAAAUAGCGCCGAAUCGGCUUUAAACGCGGUAAAUCGUCUUAAAAAUACAAUAAAAAAUAAUUGAUAAAAGAAUUUUAAAUUUUUAUAAAUUAAUUAAAAUAAAAUAAUAAAUUUAUUAUGUUAAUUAUUAUUUUAUUCGGACCAAAUAAUUAAGAAUCCGAAACGAAUAAGAAUUAUUGGUACGAAAAUUUCUUAUAAGGAUAAAUGUGUGACAUUUCAAUAUUUUCAAGAAAAUAUUUGCUUACUACUAUUAUUCCACAAAAACCGGCUCUCCUCACUUCUAUCCUCUUCUGACUUUUCCAAAAUUUCAUUUUUUUACACACACAAAGCUCUGUUCUUCUCAAUUUCAUCUUAUUCAUUUGAUAGAAAGAAGAAGAAUGUCUGAUUCAGAGGUGUUUAUUGGUUCCAUUGAUCAAGGAACCACGAGUACUCGAUUCAUAUUCUACGAUCGUUUUGCUCGUGCUGUUGGAUCUCACCAGGUUGAGUUCACUCAGUUUUAUCCACAAGCAGGGUAAUCACUAAUCACUCAUCUUUUGAUUUUCUUCUCAUUAAAGAUUCAAUCUUUUUUCGAUUUUGAAAAUUGGGUUUUUCUUUGAUUUUCAUGCAUAUAUGUAGAUGGGUGGAACAUGACCCAAUGGAAAUUGUUGAGAGUGUGAGGAUCUGUAUGGCAAGGGCUCUUGAUAAAGCUACUGCUAAUGGGCAUAACGUGGAUAGUGGAUUGAAAGCUAUUGGUAUUACAAAUCAGAGAGAGACUACUGUUGUAUGGAGCAAAUCAACUGGCCUUCCUCUUUAUAACGCCAUUGUUUGGAUGGAUGCACGUACCAGUUCUAUUUGCAGGUCUUUUAAUUUUUUUUAAAUCAAUUCUCCACUUUUUUCUGUUUCUUGAUUUUGAACUAAAUUUAAUUAAUAUCAGUUUGUUUUUCCUCUAAAUGUAUAUAUUUAUGGAUGACCGUUGAAUGGUAUUGAUGAAAAAUUACUAAAAGGAGCAGAUUUAGGUAGAAAUUCCAUAAAGCUAACCUAACUAGUUUGGGAGUAAUUGUAGUACAGUAGGGCCAGUUUUUUUGUUUUUUUUUGGAAUUGAUGAUCCAUAAUAAUAUUUCGCUAUAGCAACCAAAAAAUAUCUUGUGUACAUAUUCACGUAAGGAGUGUAUUUCUUCUGAAUUAGGGGGUGUACUGGCAAAAUUCUAAAUGGACUCUUGUUUACUGUUGUUUUGAGGUUGAACAUGGUGUGAUAAUUUAAGGCUGAGUUGCAAUUUUUUGUAUGUUAGUUGGGAAAUGGGGUCUCCAUGGUUGUUUGCUUUCUCAUUGAUCGAGUUUUCCUUCCAAGGUUUGAACUAAUUGUGUUUGUUACUAUUAAAUCCAAAGCAUGUUGACAUUUUGUAUCAAUAAUUUGUUCGGUAUCAGAAAAAUGAAUCUCUGCAGUUGUAUGUGUUCUCACUGAUCACUCUUUUGAAGUUUCAUUUCCAAUUCUUAAGUCUUGAACUGAUUCUGUUUCUUAAUCCAAUGCGUAUUGACUUUUUUUUGGUGAAUAAUUUGUUUGGUAUCAGAAAAUUGGAGAAAGAAUUGCCAGGGGGACGCACUCAUUUUGUUGAGAGUUGUGGUUUGCCUAUAAGCACUUAUUUCAGUGCAUUGAAGCUUCUGUGGCUGUUGGAUAAUGUGGAGGGGUUAAAUGAAGCUGUUAAAAAAGGAGAUGCCAUAUUUGGAACUAUCGACACCUGGUUAAUUUGGAACCUAACAGGAGGUGUGGAGAAGGGUUUACAUGUCACUGAUAUUUCCAAUGCUUCGAGAACUAUGCUGAUGAAUCUUAAGACCCUUGACUGGGAUAAGUCCACACUAGACACCUUAGGAAUUUCUGCAAAGAUGCUGCCAAAGAUUAUUAGCAAUUCUGAGAUUAUUGGAAACAUUGCUAAAGGAUGGCCAAUCACAGGAAUCCCUAUCUCGGGAUGUCUUGGUGAUCAGCAUGCAGCAAUGGUGGGUCAAUCCUGUCGAAAAGGUGAGGCUAAAAGCACGUAUGGAACAGGAGCUUUCAUACUUUUGAACACAGGUGAAGAGGUAGUUAAGUCAAACCAUGGGCUACUAAGCACAGUAGCAUAUAAGCUGGGGCCAAAAGCACCUGUCAAUUAUGCUUUAGAAGGCUCCAUUGCCAUUGCUGGUGCUGCAGUUCAGUGGCUAAGAGACAGUCUUGGCAUUAUCAGCUCCGCCAGCGAAAUUGAGGAGUUGGCAUCAAAAGUUUCCUCAACAGGAGGAGUGUAUUUCGUUCCAGCAUUUAAUGGAUUGUUUGCUCCGUGGUGGCGUGAUGAUGCUCGCGGGGUUUGUAUUGGUAUAACUAGAUUCACCAACAAGUCUCACAUUGCUAGGGCAGUACUUGAAAGCAUGUGUUUCCAGGUAAAAGACGUGCUUGAUUCCAUGCACAAGGAUGCUGGAACGAAAGAUGAAGCUAAGAGUGACAAAACAGAAUUCUUACUCCGUGUGGAUGGUGGUGCUACAAUCAACAACCUUUUGAUGCAAAUUCAGGUUUGAUUUUCUCUUUCAAUUUUCACGCGUUAUUCCUCUUCUGCAGCCCCUCACGUGAUUUUGAACUUCUUUCAAUGAUUUAUUGGCCUUUUUCAAUAUCCAACUCCUAAUAAACAUUUAGCUAUGGACUGUUUAAAGUGUUUAGAUUCAGUGAACGUGCUGUAUCGAGCUCCUAAUUUUACAUUUUACAUAAUGUAGGCUGACUUGUUGGGUAGUUCAGUUGUAAGACCAGCUGAUAUAGAAACAACAGCUCUUGGGGCAGCUUAUGCUGCUGGAUUAGCUGUUGGAGUCUACACAGAGAAUGACAUAUUUGCUUCUGGGGAAAAGCUGAAGCAAGCAACUAUAUUCAAACCUGUGUUAGAAGAAGAAUUGAGGAAAAAGAAGGCGGAUUCUUGGUGUAGAGCUGUUUCAAGAUCAUUUGACUUGGCUGAUCUAUCUCUAUAAUUCACUCCGAUCGAACGCUUGAACUACCUUCAUGUCAUUCAUGUUUUAGGUUCUUUUUCUUUCUGUUUAAUACCAGUUAUGCUUCUUUCUAAUGUACUAACUGGUAGCCACAAAUGGUAUUUUAAGUUUAUAGAAAAAUAAAGAGAACUUAUGUUUCACUUAAGCAUCUAUUAGCUUCUUUUUCCUUGUGGAGAAAAAUGUAUGUUGAUAUCUGCCUAUGUGUUGGGUUAUUUUGAUUGAUUUUGCUUAGUUACAAUGACCAAAAGUGAGGGUGUCAAAAUCGCAAAUUGGACUGAAUUUGGACCGAUCAAAUAGGCUAAAUCAAUAAAUUAGUGUCAUUAGCCGUGUAUAAUGUUUCGAUUCGAGCAUCAAUAUCUGGAAUUUUGUUUUAAAUAGUUAUUUCCUAUUCUAUAUUAUUGCAGACAUAGUCAAUGUCUCGGAGUUUCGAUUUUUACAAAUUAAAACUGACUAUUUUUCAAUUUUACGAUUGAAAAGUGGCUAUCCGCGUUAAUGUUUUACAACCCGAAAUAUUGGACAUAAUUCUUGGCCCAUUCACUAACCUUUACGGCUUUUUGAUGGGCUUUUGCUAGAGAUAAGGCUGGGCUGUGGCCCAGUAAGUACCAAAACAGUGGGUAAGGUAAUUUCUUGGUGAUAUUAUUUAGAUUUACUAUUAUUAAUCCUUGUAAAUUAAAUUACCAUAAGUUGAAAAUCAACUUUAAAGAAAUAUUUUUACAAUUGUUUUUCCCUUGCAUAAAAUAAUAAUUACAGAUAAAAUCGAAUCGUUAGUUAAUUUUAACAAAUCAAAAUAAAUUGAUUCAUAUGAAACGUCUCAAAAACACAAGUAUUUCAAGACAUCACUAGCCUAAGGUUUAAAGAUCUUAGUUUUUUUUAAAAAAAAUUUAUUUAUUUUAUAAUACGCAACGUUGCUCAACGAAAAAAGAAUUAUUACCUUUUUGUAUAAUUUUGAACUAUCUUUACUUCAUUGGUUGUGAUAUUGAUGUAAGAUAAACUUAUGUUAUGUUGUCUGAAGUUUAAACUAGCUCUCAUAUGUCUAUCGUCGAAAACUCAAGAUCAUUGAAUGUUCCUCCGAUAUUUAUAAAGUUAAUCUACACUCUUUAUAUCCUUACAAUAAAUUUUUGUUCUCAUAAUCAAAAGACCAACAUAUAUUUACUAUAGAUAAUUGGAUAAAAAUAAUAUCUAAGACUAGAAUUUUAAAAUGAGAUAAAUCGUAAAUCGUAAUGAUGGCAAUUUCCUUUUACAUGGAAAACGAAUAUAAUAUAGCAUGAAAUGAAAAAUCUUAGCAAAUAUUUUUCUACUUUAUUAUGGAGUAAUAAAUAGACGGUGCUGGUACUUACUAUAUAGAAAGAAUAUAUAGAACACGGUGGCCAACAAUAGGAUAAUAGGUUAUUUUUUCGUAAAUUUUUACUUCUUCAAUACUUGUUUCAUACAUUUUUAAAAUAAAUAAUAAAUUAAAUAUUAAUUUUAUUAUAUUGAAUAUAAUAAAAUAUAAUAUUUUUAAAAAUAUUAAUAAUAAAUUAUAAUGUUGCAAAACAAUAAUUAAUUGUGCCGCUUUAUCCUUAAAAGUCAAUGUAUCUUCCUUCUUAAGUCCACCAAACCAUAAUUGUUGAAUAGUUUAUUCUUUUAGAUGACACUUAUUCAUUAUUGAUUUAACAUAUUUUUUAAAAAAUAAUAAAUAAUAAAAUAACAAAUAAUAGAAAUAAUAUUAUUGUUUCAUUCUCUAACAAAAAAUAAAUUAUUUUAAUUUUCUAAAUCAAAAAAUAUUAUAAGAUAUCGAUUUUUAAUAUAGUAAACAAUUAUUAUAUAACGAAGAAAGUAUAAAAAAGGGGGAUAGGUUUGUUCUCAAACCAAUAAGUUACAUUGUGGAAACACGGCUGGUGCAAUAGUUUAUUUAAUAAUAAAACUAAUUAUUAAUUAACCAAUGUGUUUAAUUUAACCAUUAAUCGCGUUACUAAAAAUGGGGUUAACUACUAUGCUAUGAUUUUGUCGUCCACAUAUAAUUAUCAUCAUUAUAAUUUAAAUAUUUCUCAUGAUCAAUUCUCUGAUUUUCAACAUUUGAUAAAGUUGCCGGCCCAUAAACUUUUUUGGGAUAAAGUUUAGAUUAUAUUUUAUUUGGAUGAACUCUAAAGUUCAUUUAUUUUAAUUUUUAAAUUUGGAUGUUUUAUUUUUUUAUUUCGAACUAAAUAAAAUUGAUUAUAAUGAAUUAGGUCAUUUAAAAGAGAAAAAUGUUAAUAAAUGUUGAAGUGAAUUUAUCGUGCUAUUUAUAAACUUACGAAAUUUAAUAUCUCAACUGCUGUUACUUAUAUUUGAUAUAUUAAAAUGUUUAUUUUUGAAUAUAAAUUUAAUUAUUAUCGUAUCUUAAUUCGAUAUAUUAACCCUAUCAAUUAUAAAAUCUAAAUUCUAAUUUAACGUUUUUUUCUUCAUGGCCUUGUAGUGACAUGAUUGAUAUUUGAAAACUCCUUUUGACAUAGUGCAUUCAUGAUUUGUCAUUUCAUUUCGAUUAUUCUAAAAAUGGAUGAGCCUAUUUAUAUAUUUUCUUUGGCAAUUAGCCAAACAAACUAUUCUUUUUUUUCUUCUGUCAAUCAAACAUGUGUUAACAUUUUUUAAAAAACGUGAGGCCCUGUGAUCCAUAUCUAUAAAAUAUAUGUGCACACAUCGAAGUGAUAUUAUUCCAUUCUUUUCCUUCUCAAUUGUUUACUUACCACCGAUUUCAAAUCCUCCAUAUAAUCCUAGUAAUUUAAUGUCGUAAUAAAGAUUCAUAAACUUCAAAUUUUCGAUUCUGCAUAUAUUUAGCAAUUUUUAAAAUUAUUACUACACAUAUAAUAUCUAAGAUAGAUACAAAUUUUUGUGAUAAUGGUGUGAAAAAGUGAUCUUUAUCUAUAUAUAUACCAUUGAAAAAUGUUGGACGAUAAAUUAAUUAUCGUAAGUACUCAUAUUGUAAUAGCCAUAUCCUAGAAAAAGGCUCAAGUAUAUAGGUUUUUUUUUUAUCUAAUUCACGUAUAGAAGAGAAUCGAUCUAUUUAUACGUCUAAAUAAUCUAGUGUGUGUUACCUCAAUUUUCUUUUAAAAUAUCAGUUGAAGUUACAAUAAUUUCAUAUGGUAUAAUCAAUCAUUUGGAAAGCUAUGGUUUGUGAAUGGACCAUUUAGCCACUAUACAUACGAUUGAAUUAUGUCAUAUGAUGUUAUGUCUAGACUAAUGAUACGUCUUUUUUUUUCAAUAGAAAAAAAGAAGAGUAAUUUGAUUACAAUAAAACAAAAUAUAAAGAAAGGCAAUCCCGCAAAGCAACCAAAUUAGAAGAAACAAGUGUAGUAAAGCAAAGAAACUACGCCAUAAUUAGUUAUAGUAAUUAACAAACUUCCUAUCUAACUUGUAUUCAUACUCUUUACUUUCUACCGUCGUUAUAACAUCCGCCUUAAUAAAUUCGGAUAUAUAUAAAAUUUUACGACUUAAAUAAUAUUUUAUUACGUAUUCAGAUGUUCAGCUAAAAUAAAUCAUACCGAAAAACUAAUAGCAAAGCAAGGAUUUCAUAACAGAAAAUAAAUUGCGGAGACACGGUGUGGUGUUUGAUUUCGUUUCUGCCACUGAACAGACGCUUUUAUGUCCCAAGUUCACGUAAUCUAAGGGCAAAGGUGAAUUCCAGACUUUUAUUUCGGUUUGAUGGUUAAAAUUGUGGUUAGUGUUUAUAUUUAUCUUUAAUUAGACGUCUAAAAUAAAAGUCUUGAAGAUAUAGUAAAAGUAAGUAUUGUUUGGGUUUAUUUGUUUUGAUUUUUCUUAUCAGAAAUAAAUUUUCCUUUUAGAAGAAAGGUUUAGAUUGAAUAGACUUAAUUAACAUUCACAAUAUAGUCUUAAGAGUUUUGAUUAGAGAAAAAAUUUGUGGGACAUAAGUUUGAUAGAUUAUCACUUGUGUGAAUCUCCCAUGUAUAUUGAGUGAUUUGAUUGGAGUUGUUUCUUUCUAUAUUUUUUGUGCUCUUAUAUUUAUACAGUGAAUUGUUCAUUUUCUUUGUAGACGUACGUCAAUUGAUUGAAUCGUGUUUAAUUUUUAUAUCUUUUGAUAUAUUUCUUAUUUAUCUUCUUACUCGUGAUUCUUUGAAAUUUGUUUGGCUAGCUUUCUCAUGAUACCAACUUUUUUCUUGUCCCAACAAGUACAAGAUGAAUUAAUUUUUUUUUUAAAGAAAAACAAGCAUUAUGAUAUUUUAUUUUUUUUGAAAAAAAAAAAGAAACGGAGGGGAAGUUCCUCGUUUGCCGUUACAAAAUGCUUGCAAUAAUAAUAUAUCUGCCAGCUCUUUCCCAUUUAUUGCCUUCUCUCUGUUUUCUAACUUUUUCCCCCACUGCCACCCACUAUUCCCCCUUCAAAUUUCAAACUUUUUAACUACGUAACCAGUAACCACUAUUACCAUAUUCACAAUAUUUAAUUAAUUAUCUAUCGACAACAAUCAUUCCCUCAUUGACUUAAUUCAACCCUAUUUCUUUUUGGUUCAAGUUAAAAGUUGUGGACCCAUUUAUGAAAUAUAAAAAACGUAACACAGUAACAAAUAUAUUAUUUUUACUUUGUUUUUUAAAAAUUAAAAGAUCUUUGGUAAUUAAAAUAAAAAGAAAAAGAGUAUUUGUAUAUAUAUAUUUGUGCUGUUUGCUGUCCCUAUAUGCCCUCAAAGUCUACUCGUUGGAGUAUCUGACAAUUUUACAAUCCUCGAUAAGAUGCUCUAAACCAGCAAACACACAAAAUAAAAGCACAGCAAUAUUUCAUACGCAAAAAAGAAAAGAAAAAAGAAGUACCUUAUUUUUAUAUGCCCUUUAAUUUCUUCCGUUUCUUCUUAGAUCAUGGCUUCUGAUCCGAAUUCAUCAACACCCAAUACCACUUUCGUUCAAGCCGACCCGUCCAAUUUCCGAGCCGUUGUUCAACGACUGACUGGCGCAGCUCAAGAUUCGUCUUCGUUGAAGCUCCCGGUUACUGGGCCUGGACCAGCUGGGCCUCGACGACCGGCUUUCAAGCUGCACGAGCGGAGGCAGAGUGCGAGGAAGCUCGAGAUCAUGCUUAACAAUGGAGGUAGCUUCGGUGUCGGCUCACUUUCUCCUUCUUCUUCUUCUCCUUCUUCAUCAGCGAGGAAGAGAAGUUUUUUGACUUCGCCAAUUUCACCAUUGGAAAUGUUGACACGUGGCAGUCCGAGAUCGCCGAUGGAGGAAGAAGAAAAAGCCAUUGCUGAAAAAGGAUUUUAUUUGCAUCCAAGUCCACGAACUACUCCUAGAGGCUCUGAACCUCCCGAACUAUUACCUUUAUUUCCACUUCAGUCCCCUACUGCCACAAAUAAUUCAUCAUCAUCUACUUAAUUAAUUAAUGCUUUGUUAUAAAUGAUCUUAUCAUAAUGUAGAACGAUUUGCUACUUCAUAUUCUGUCUCAACGUUUCGAAAUCGUGAUUUUGAAAAGGUUAUUUAUUGUUUGUGUUUCUUCAAGUAUUUCAUAAAAUUAAUUGAUAUAUGCGUAAACUUCAGUUAUUUUAAUGAAGUUUCUUUAAACGAAUUGUUAAAAAAGUUCUACAUCGAUAGUUAGAGGCUUGUGCAAUUUUUUUUUAACUAGCUUUUGAGGUGUAAGUUAGCUAUAAGACCUAAUUUCACAUGGUAUCAGAGCAAUCAAAAAUUUGUUAGAAGUAAUUGAACACUGGAUUAUUAAUUUGGGUUGUUAUGUAUUCAAGCUAACGUAUUAUUUUUCUGCAUUAUUGGUUGCACGUUUGGAAAAGGGGCAAUGAAGCAAUGAUAAUUUAUUUAUUUAUAUUUUGCUUGUUUGGGAUAAGCUUAUCUAAUGUGUCCAAACACCAGUGAUAGUUUAGUUAAUUAUAUUAGAUGAUCGACUAUUGAUACUUCCAUUACUGCUCCUUUUUAAGUUUUGUAGCUAGGCACAAACCUACGUAUUUAUUUAAUUGUCGUGUGUACGUAAUAUAUAUGAAUUUUUAUCAUCAAAAUACGUAUAAGUUGAUAUUAAAUUUACGUGAAUCAGUAAGUAAUAAUUCUAGAUCCCGCGUUGAGUGAGAAUUAGCUCAACGUCUGAUAUGGUCAGGGCAACGGCUAGGAUCCGUGUUUUGCAUUGAAUGAGCUGUUUUUGCUAUUUUGAAAGGUUCUGAAAAUUUAUUGCAAAAUGUGUUUGCUUACACUCGACUCUAGGUUUUUUAAUUUAUUACUACUGCUCUUUAGUACAUUACAAAUUCAAAAAUGAAAUACCAAGUACAGAUCAUAGAGUCCCCCAAAUUUAAUUCCCUGCAACACCAAUUCAAAUUUAUAAGAAGUCAACUCGUACAGUAAUUACCUACUUACAAGUUACAUGUAUAGCUGAACCAAACAUAAAUUGGCAAAAUGAAUGAUCAUCCCAUUGUCAUCAGAGUGGCAGCAGUGGUUUUAACUACGCUGUUCAAACUCUUCAAAAUAUAUUAUCGUAUUCGUAUUAAAUUUUCUAAAAGUAUAAUACUUUUGACGAAUUCGAUAUGCACCCAAUGAUAUUUUAAAAAAAUAUGAGCAACUUAGGUGACUAUAACUGUGAUAACGAAUAUAAGUGAAAAUGACAAAAUUAACUCAUAAAAAUAUUAUUUGUUCAAAUUUACAUAUGUCAAACUCAACUCAUCUAAAAAUCAAGACAGUACUAAUAUUUAUGUAGCUAACAAAUAACCAAUGAGUAAACCUUUGCCUAAUAUUUUCAUAAAGGCAUUUUUUUUGUUUGAUAUACAAUAUAUUAUCCAUAAUAAAAAAGAAAAUAAUUGCCUUAAGGUACUUAAACAAAAUACAUCAAAACUGCUAAAUCAAGCACGACAAAAAUAAAUAAAUAAUGAAAGGUAUGUACAUGCAUUCCUACAUGAUAAUCUGCAACUCGAUCUAUACGAUAUUUCGUGUACGUGAAUAUAUGUAUGCGAUGAAGCUAAAAAUUAAAAUAUAGGUUAGAGGGUCGGUUGAUCAGACUUAGUAACUUUGAUGCAAAUUAUUUUAUAUUUAUCUUAAUAAAUUUAUUUAAUAUGUGAUAAUUAUUAACUUAGAACACUCAGCUCAAGUCCGCUAAUAUAGACGUACAUAAGCUUUAUAUUUAAAAUACGUAUUUACUUACAAAUAUUUAGACUAAGAAUUUUUUCCUAUACACAUAAAAACGUCAUCCCAUAUAAUAAUCUAUAUGGUUAUAGACUUAUAGUAAAUUUUGCAGAUUUUUCGUGAUGGUUAGUGUGCACUUAAAGGAUGAUGGAGUUUAAAUUAAAACAAGAAAAGACAGCAGGAAAAAGGGAGGGAAUUAAGUUGCAAUACUAUCCAGAACAUUUUUGUUUUUUAUGAAAAUGGAGAGCAAAAUGCUGAUAACCAGUGCUUAAAAGAAUAAUAAUUCCAAGAUUAAGUUUUCAUUUGGUCAUUUUGACUUUAGCUUUUUAAAAAUUGUGAUAUUUGGAAAUCUGAAAUUGUGUUUGCAUAUGUAUUUUAUUUGAAAAGAAAAUUAAAAAUUAUGAAUAGAAGUUUUGAAACUUAACAAUUUUUCACAAUUUGAUCAAAAUCAAUGAUAAAAGUGUAAUAUUAAGUGAAGGGUCAAUUGACAUGACACUUGAAAAAAGGAAGGCUAAUUUUUAUUUGGAGAACUUAUCUAAAUUAUACUAGAUUAGGGGCAAAUUAUUUAUUAAAUAUCCUCUACUUUGUAAUAUUCAUAUCUUAUAGGAUUUAGUGCCUCCAAAUAUGUUCAGAAACACGAGGUCAAAUUUAGGUAUAUAUUGGUCUAGAUACAUUAUAUCUAAGUAGAUAAGAUACAUAAUGAAUUUUUCAGUUUUUCUCGCUUCUAUCCCAUGCCGCUCACAACUCUCCAACGUAUCUAAAAUUUCAGAUACAUGCGAAUCACUCUAGAUCAUACAAAUACAUGCACUUAGCGUGUAUGUAGUGUAUUUUGUAUGUAUUCAAAAUACAUACGAAUAUCGCUUGCUCUCUCCUCAAUCACGCUCACAUCUCUCCUUAUUUUGUGUAUCUAGUAGUAAGAAUACAUGUAUUUAACUGUUUGAUUUAUUUGUGUUCCAUAGUAAACGUUUGUCAAUCCCCCGCUCCCUCAUAUUCUCGCUCGUCACUCUCCCUCUCUCGCUCGCUUCUUGUCGCUCGCCUCUCUUGCUUUAUACAGUAGAAUUGUAUAAAUUGUGUUUCUAAUCGUAUAGCAAAUACAUAUAUUUUUGUCCUAUACACUUAUAAUUAUACAAUAAAAGUACUAUCCUGCGGUCCUGCCCAAGUCUCUUUUUUGCCUUUCUCUCUUUCUCGUUUUAUACAAAUUCAAAUUGUAUAUAAUUUCUCUCUUUCUCGUUUUAUCCAACUCGAUUCAAUUGUAUAUUUUCUGCCCAAUCUUUCUCAUUUUAUACAAAUUCAAAUUGUAUAUAAUCGUCAUAUACACUUAUAAUUAUACAUUUCGUUUUAUACACUUCUCUGCCAGAUCUCUUUCUCUUUCUCGUUUUAUACAAUUCGCUUCAAUUGUAUAUGUAUAGCGAAUUAUACAUUUAUACGUUUGCUAUGGAGCGCAGUUAUGCAAACUUUCCUAUAACAUACAAAUAUGAAUUUUUUUGUUUGCUUUAUGUGAAAGUUACCCUUUUUAAAUUAUUUAAUUAGUAAUAAGAUAUAUAUUAUUUCAAAAGUAUAAAUAAUAUAUAAUAAUAAUAAUAUAUAUAUGAUAGUGAAAGUUUUUCCUUUUUAUUUCCUCAAUUUCUUCCUCUAUUUUAAUUUUUAAUAAAACACAAUUUUAUAUAAAUAAAAUGAAAAUAUCUAAACUUAAUGGCCAAAUACUUAUUUAAAUUUUGAAAUAGGCGAGGUUUAUAUUGAAAAAAUAAUAAUUAAAAUUUCAAUUAAAACUUUUGUUAAACCAUUUCCAAGUUCCACCUUUCUCCCCUGCGUGACAAAACCCUUGGGAGAUAAAGCGCGCGAAACUCUUUAUCAGUUUUCUUCAGAAACUCAGCUAAGCUCGAAAAUGCCAGAGCUUCCAGAGGUAGAGGCAGCUCGAAGAGCCAUUGAGGACAACUGCAUUGGCAAGAAAAUUGUGAAAGCUAUCAUCGCCGACGAUUCCAAGGUCAUCGACGGCGUAUCUCCUGUGGAUUUGAAAGCAUCUCUUGAGGGCAAAACUAUCGUAGCUGCUAAUCGCAAAGGGAAAAAUAUGUGGCUUGAGCUCGAUUCCCCUCCUUUUCCUACUUUCCAGUUCGGUGAGGCUACUUUUCUUUUGUUAAAAUCUUUACUGCAUCUGAAAAUUAACUAAUUUAGUUCCCAAUGUUAGAAAAGUUCCAUUAAUAACGAACUUUGCUGGAUAAAAGUGUUCCACAAAAAGAAUGUAUUUGCACAAUUGCUUGUAUGGAAUAACUGCCCACAAUAAACAUGUAAGUUUGGCGCUGAGAAACCCUAGUUCUGGAUAUGUCAUACUUAGUUAUCCUUGAUAUUGAUGAAAUUCUCCUAGUUGUGUGCUAUGUGUUCUCGUCCAAAUCAAAUUGCUCUCAGGCACAAAUAUCUUUUAGCAUUAAGUUAUUGAUGAAGUUUUCAUAGUUUUGUCUUGCAUAUUUUAACUCUGCCUUUCCUUAGCAUUUUGAAGGUUUCAACAACAGAAUAGACUGUCAAGCUACAAGAUUGGAAAUAAUAACAUUUCUGUUGCCUAGUGUAUUUAUUUGAUCUCUAAUAUUUUAUACUACUAUGGUCAGGAAUGGCGGGUGCUAUAUAUAUCAAGGGAGUUGCAGUUACAAAAUAUAAACGGUGAGCUAUAAUGUUUUGUUGUACUGGUCAAGUAUGUAAAGCUAUUCAGUUUGCAAACUGAUGAACAAUAAAUGUUUAAGGGCCACAAGUGUCUACCCAAAUUAUGGAAAAUUUCUCAUUUACUUAUCCCCGAAAAGAAAAUGUUCUCGAAGAAGUUUGAUUAACGGACUGCUUUGUGAAUUGCCAAAGUCAAAUUAGCUUUCUCGUCUUAUGUGUGAUAUUGUUCAAAAAAACGAAUAAAUCAAUCUGGAGCACUUAUCACAAAUGUAAUAUUGUUCUAGGUCUGCAGUAAAAGACGAUGAUGAGUGGCCUUCCAAGUAUUCAAAGGUUUUCCUUGAGGUAAGUUUACUCUUUCUAACGAGUUAAUGUUUCGGUUGUGUCUUCUUUCUGUAAUUGCUCGCAUAAAUUGUAACAUCCAUUUAUUACUAUAAAGUUAACAGUAGAUUCAUGAAAAGGAUAAUGGUCUGAGGUGAUUUUGUGGCCCAAAUGGAAUUAGUGAAUGCAUCAUAUGGAUGUAGAAGCAUUUUUGCACCCUUUGUAAUCAGCGAUGCAUGAAAUUCCUCAAUGCACAAAAUUUAGACUCAUUUUUUUGUCUGUAUGAAGCUUCUUUAACCCUCUUUACCCAUCUUGAAAUAUAAAAAAUCAUUCAUACACACCAGAGUCUGUGUGAACGCAAUUAAAAUCUUCAUUGUACUAUGACAGACUAUCAUAUGUGAAAAUUGACGUUGUUUUCUUGAUAGUCAAUUCCCUCAUCACUUAGGACUAGUGGCAUUUAAAUCAACCACCUUGUUGUAUUUGUUAUCCACCUCAUUUAACUGGAAAAGAGGACUAGAUGGACCAUGAAAAAUGUUUUUGCAUUUUUGGGGUCCUACUUCUGUAGCUUACAGAAAAAGUGGGUUGAAGCCUUCAUUUAUUUUGCUACUUUGGCUCCUUUGCCUUUCUUUUAAAGGUCAAACUGGCAUAUGAAUGUAGUUACUGAUGUAUGUGGACGCGUUUCAAACUUUUGUAGUUGGAUGAUGGUCUGGAGCUUUCAUUUACGGAUAAGAGGCGGUUUGCCAGGGUUCGCUCAUUGGAGAAUGUAAGAUGAUGUUACCACCAAUUCGUGGAUACUUCCCCUUGAACAAAAAUCUUGAAUGUCAUCUCCCAAUGAAUUUUCCAUUGCAGCCGGUGUCUGUUCCUCCAAUAUCUGAGCUUGGUCCUGAUGCAUUGUUGGAGCCGAUGACUGUAGACGAGUUCUAUAAAGCUUUGAGUAAGAAGAAGAUUGGCAUUAAAGCUUUAUUACUUGACCAGGUGAGAAACGGAUUUUUACUUCUCUGUGACUAAGGAUAUGAACUUCUGGGAAAUGGUGAAAGAAAUUCUUUAAAAUACAUAUUUUAAUGACAUAGUAAUCAAGAUAGGCAAAAUUUUAGGACAAAUGCAUAUCCAUCUACAGAUGUAUUAGAAGUGGAAUACUAGUCUACUACAAAGACCACCACUCGAUCUCUACUUAUAUCUAAACUUCAAAUCAGCACAGUGAAGCAAGUUUGAUUGUCUUUUGUUGUUUCAUUGUUGGUGUAAGUUGGAGUAUGCUAAUAAGGCAGAAACUUUCUUGGAGUUCUUGUAAAUAACCCUUUUAAGAGUUUAAGAGGGCGUUACUUUUGUUUUUCUCUUUCUUAUGCUUUUGCUGACUUCUACAGUAUACUCAGCACACUCUUUGUGCUGUUUUAUUUCUACAAUCAUUAGUCAUUACCAUUUCAAAAUGAAUCUCCUUCUGAUUAGUUCUCUACGUUGUUCUUGUUUUCCUUUCUUUUCGUGUUUAUUUUCAAGUAUAUGUUAAUUUUGCGAAUCAACUGCUUAAAAGAUUCUGCAUAUCUGAGUGGUAACAUCUAUCUGUGAAUGCUUUAUGCGUGAAAAGAUAUCUAUAUUUCUGUUGCUUUCCUACUCUGAACAAACAUUGUUAUCCAGCUAAACAUUAGGAGCCAGCAUGUGCUAAAAGUUAGAUUUAGUAGCAUAUAAUUGAAACUCCCGUGCUGUAUAAGAAAAUUCAAUAAACAGUAUUUUUACAAGGAAAGAAAAGCUAUCACCCUUAAAUUCAUUAGGAGCUUAAGCCAUUUUCUAGUAGGCAUUAUAAAUCUUUUUCCUCCUGUUGCUUCUGCAGAGUUUUAUUUCAGGAAUUGGCAACUGGAUUGCAGAUGAAGUGUUAUAUCAGGUGCAUGUGCUCAACUCUUGGCCAUAAUACAAGAAUUUUGAGUUUCUUAGCUUUACGUUUUACUGCAAGUUACAAAUUUUGUUCCGUUAUUUGCUCAUUCAAAGUCUAGUUACUAUUUUUCUUUAACAAAUGGACAAAUUUGUCUCUUCAUUUCUGCUGUAAGCAGUUUGGAUACAGACUGAUGUUGCUAGCAAAUUUUUGCUUUCUCUUGUGAAGUUGACCAAUAAGAGAAAGCUCCCAUUGGAAAUAUUUGUGAUUAACUUUGUGAAGUUUCUUUUGACAGGCGAGAAUCCAUCCUAUGCAGUCCGCUUCAAGCAUAUCCAAAGAGGACUGUGCAACAUUGCUGAAGUGCAUUAACGAGGUAGUCAUCUUUCUUGAAUUGGCUGUUGCGAUCACUUAUCAUUUGUAUAAGAAUGCUUUCCUCAUAGCUAGCUAUUGGAGAUGAUACUUCUAGGUUACAGAAUUUGCAGUUGAAGUGGAUGCUGAUUGCAGCCGCUUCCCUUCUGAAUGGUUGUUUCAUUAUCGAUGGGGCAAAAAGCCUGGAAAAGUUAAUGGUGAGAUAGUUUUCCAUAUGCAUCCUCAUUUUGACACAGAAUUGUAUGUCACAGGUCAUCAAAAAAGCUGUUGAAGUUGAGGCAGAUAGUAGUCAGUAUCCUUCUAAUUGGAUUUCCCAUUCCCGGGAAAAGAAACCUGGCAAGGCCUUUGUUGAUGGUUUGGCUCCUCACUUUUAAGCUACUCCUGGUUGGGUUCUGGUUAUUCUCAUCAUCCUUGCUCAUCAUAUCCACAUUGUUGUGAAGUAGAUAUUUUCUGCUUUGUUUUGUAACUGCCAGACUAUAUAUUAAGUAGUUUUGCAUGCUUUUAACAUGAAAUAAAAAAAAUGAUAGAUCUGCUUUCCUUGUGCUCAGUGUUCUGUCGUCAUUUUAGAUAAAAAGUUUGCAGUUUUUCAUAUGCUUGCAAUUUUUUAUUUUUUUUUACAUGAUGACCAUUGACAGAAAAUGUGUAUUUUGCAGGGAAGAAAAUAGAAUUCAUCACGGCAGGUGGCAGGGUAUGGCUCUGUAACGCUAUUUUCUGGUUAACCGUCUCAAGUGUAAAUAGAUAACAACUUUUUUUUUAAUGCUAGACAUCAGCCUUUGUUCCAGAGCUACAACAGAAUACGGGGGCUGAAUCUGCAAAAGCGGCAGGUAAACGGCAACAGGUGAAAGUUCAGAAAAUCAAGCAUAACGAUAGUGAUAGUCAAGAUGAAGAGCCAGAAAUUGAAGAGACAGCAGCUGGGAAGUCAAAGGUGAAGCAGCGUGGGGCAAAUACUAAGAGAGCUUCUACUAACAAGAAGUCAAAGGAAAGCAACAGUGAUGAUGAAAAUGAUAGCGAUGAAGCUCCAAAGAAAUCUGGAAAAGCAAAACAAAACAAAAGCUCCAAGGGAAAAGGUGGUGAUAAAAAGAAGAAAACUAGAGGAACAAAUACGGCUGCAAAAAGAAAACUAGAGGAAAGUGAUGAUGAGGAAGACACCGACGAUAAUGAUGCUAGUGGGGAUGACGAUGAUAGUGAACAGGACAAGGAUCAAAAUCUUUCUAGUAAAACACAAUCAAAGGGGAAGAAGACCACCAAGCAAAUGGCUGAACCAAGGCAGACUAGGAAUAAGCCAUCGAAGAAGCAGAAAUAACUUAUCAUCCAAGUAUCAAGUUUGCGAUUUUGUCAACUUAAAGGAAGUGGUAACAGUUUAUGCUUUGUGUUCAGGACUACCAGUUUGUAAUCGCCCGUGAAUAGUUACUAAAACAGUACGAUGACAAGACUGUAAUAUUUCACCAACGGUUUAGGCUGUGGGAUGUAUGAUGCAAACUUGUGAUCUAUCCUUGGGAAAACAUUAAUUAAGUGACUGGUAUUACUUUCUCCUGUACAGCCGUGGUUCCAUCAUUGCUGUACAUGAAUUUCUUACUGGAGAAUCCUCCCUAAAGCCGCCAUAGCUUGAUGCUUUCUUUAGUCAAUCAUUUGAUCCGCAACUUAAUUUCAUCGCUUAUCUUUGACAUCCCACUGUAAAUGACAUCAUUUUAUCUAGAUUUUGAGCAGGUUGAUGGAAGUCAUAUACAUCAUAAAUCAGGUUCUUUAUAUUCAUAUCUAGACGUAUAUCUUCAAGGCUAAUAACUCAUAAGUAUUGCAAUUUAUGUAUUGAUUUUAAGAAAUGAUAAGUAUUAUGUAUCAAUUAUUGUUUAUAGUAAGGAUUGACAUAUACAAAAAAAAAAAAAAACCAAGUACAAUUUGUUAAUAAUUUAUAGAAAAACUAAGUGAAUUCAUGUUCAUUGGUCAAAUCAGUGAAUCAAAAUAAAUUAAUUCACAUUUAUUAAUUAAAAGUUGAUUGCGAGAAAAUUGAUUUAAAGAUAUUAUAGCAAUUUUAAUUUCUCAAAUGAACGUAGAAUAAAAAAUAGUGACAUUUGAAUACUAACAAAGUGAAAUAGUGACUUUUGAAUACUAGCAUCACAAUUAAUUUAAUUCAAAUUUAUUUUCUUAAAAAAAUUCAAUCGAAUUUGUCAUUCAUUAAUUUAGAAUUUAAUUCAAGUUGACCAAAAAUUUGAACUUCAACUCCAUCCGCGACUUCAAACUCUGUAUAAUGAGAAGAUAAAAAAAAGAUAAAACAAUCUAAAAUCUUCGUUCUUUCUCCAUUCUUAAAAUUGCCUUUGCGUCUUACUAAUUGAUCGAUUUGAUAUUACUGAUUCAAUUUAUUAGUUAUCGAUUCAUAAAUAUGAUAAAUUAAUUUUAUUCUCGUAAAUACCCAAAAAUAUUAUAGUUUCUUAUAAUUUAAUAAUUAAUUUUUCUUUUUCAAUUAUCAUUUCUUGUAUUUUUUUUGUAAGAAAAGAAUAAAAAUACAUAAUCUCUUGUAAUAAUUUAUAAGAAAAAAAAAUAAAAAUAUAUAUAUAUAUAAAUUAAUGUACGUUACAAAAUAACACAAACGUUUAAAUAUCUUUCAUUGAUUAUACUUUUUAUUUUUUUUAAUAUAUCAAUUGUUACAUAAAAUAUCAAAAUUAUUUUUAAAACAGUUUAAAAAUAAAAUUAAGAUUUCAUUUCAUUCAACAUGCUAAUUAGAGUAUUAUCUUUUUUACUUAUACACUAUUUGUAAUACUUAUAACUACAAAUUUAAUAUUAUGAUAAUUGUUACCUUUAAAAGAUAUUCUAAUUUAAGACAAUAUUUAUUUUUUAAUUUAAUCAUUGGGAAAAUGCAUAAGAAUCAUCCUAACCUAUGUCCGAAAUCUCAAAGACAUAUUUAUACUAAGGUUCUAUUACUCCCUGAACUUAUUUUAUAAAUAAUUUUCUACCCCUUUCGGCCUACGUGACACUAUAUUCUGGGCUCAACACAUGUUAACUUUUUUUUAAAACUAAUUUCACGUAAAUAAAAAAAAAAGUAGAAAAUUAUUUAUAAAAGAAGUUGUACAUUUUUUCCUACUUUUUAAAGAUAGGAUAUAUUAUGCGUUUGUUUAAAAUUAUUCAAAAGAAAAUUUCAGAACAAAACAAGUUUGAGUUUCUUUUGCAAAUGAUGUUUUGUUUGAGUUUCAAACUUACCUUUUCAAUUUUGUUUCAAAACUUCAAAAAUUAUUAGGGGUUAUUUGGUGUGAAGGAUUAAACUGAAAAAUUGCGAUAAAUUAUAGUGAUACUUAAUUUGUUUUUUGAUUGGUAAAUUCAAAAUAACUUAUUCUAAAAUUAAUAAUUAGUAUUGAAUUAUUUUGAUAAAUAUAUUGAAUUGAGUUUGAUUUGAAUAAAAUGAUUUUACAAUUGGGUCUAUUUUAGAUAAUUUUCACAAUUUUAUAUACUAUUUGGGUAAUUAUUUUGUUUCUUUUAAGUAGGAAUGGGGUAUGGUAUGAUAAUAUAUCGAAUUAUUAUACUAUACUAAAUUUUUUAACAUUGUAGUUUGAUAUUAUGGUAUUUGGUAAAUAUUUUUUUGGCAUUUGAUACGUUAUUUAACAUACUGAAAAAUCGAAUAUCAUAUCAAAGUAUAUAGUAACAUAAAUAACACGCGCACACACGCACACAAUAUUAAUAAAUAUGCAACCUAAUAUUAGUAUAAACUAAAUGUUCAUAAAUUAAAAAUUUGACUACUCUAUUUUGAUUGAAAUGUAUUUUAAUUGUCAUUGAUUAACAAAAUGUGUUGUUUGUACUUUAUUUUGCAUAUAUAAUUCUACAUGUGUAAUAUGUUAGAAUGAUACAAUUAACCUGUUUAAAUAGUCAAAAUCAUAAUUCUAUAUUAUACAUGUAUAUAUUUAUUAAAGUUGAACAAAUUAUGAUUAUCAAUUUAUCAUUAUGUUAAAUAUCAAAAUUAGAGUUGUUAAAAGGACCGGCCCAACCCCACCGGGCUCAAGCCUCGUGGGCCAAAGAAUUUGAAGGGCUAGGGCAAGCCAACCCUUCAUUUGGAUAUGAAAAUGAUCAAUUCAACCCUAAAAAGGCUGAGGAUUGGGGCGGUAAGCCCAUCUUUUUUUUUUCUUUCGUAACUUAUAAUUUUAUAAAUUAAAAAAAAAAAGAGAUUUUCAAAUCAAAUAUGAUUGAAUAAUGAUGUUGCUUCGAUAAUAGUAGCAAAAAGUAUAGUGUAAUUAACAAAUAUCUCGCAUAGUAGAUACGAGCAAGACAAAAGAGUGACAAACAAGAUGGAAGAGGCGAAGGCACAAAAUUUGUCUAUGCACCUAAAUAUAUAUGAAUCUACUUGGAUAAAAAUGUAUCUUAAAUAAAUUAACCUAAUUUUGAGUCAACAUAUUUCAAAAAUAUAUUUAAUUUGUGCCAAAAUCUAAUAAUAUUCAUAAGAUUAGUACAUACACGUGUGUAUUUAAGUAAUUAAACUAUAUACAAUUUGUAAGUGUUAAUUGAUACAUAGUAUAGUGCUUUUCACCAUUAAUUUUCUUCAUCAGAUCUGGUGGUCUCUUUUAUGUAUGUAUCUCCUUCAUCUUUGUCUGCUCAGUGCUUUUGGUUCCUCGUUUUAUCUUGCUUCUAGCUCGAAUUUUCUUCCGUGAAUCUUCUUUGUGUUUUAUUACUGAUUUUGGGUUCUUUGGAGGCCCUUAUUUUUUGGGGGUCUAAAGCUGCUUUAGGUUGAGCCGCAUGAGCAAUUUGUGUUUAAGUUAAUAAAUUGAGGAACUUGAUGAUUGAUCACUAAUAAUAUUAGGUAAGGUCUCCAUUUAUUUCAUUGGGUAUGUUGCUGUUGUACAUAAUCAAAGUCCAUGUACUGCUGCUUGAUAAGAUAUUUGAGAUUGCUUGUGAAUUGUGAUAUAACCAAGUUAUUUAUUAUUACAAGUUGAUAAUCCGUCCGAACUUAUGUGAUUUUGCUCUCUAAGUAGAAGAUUAGUUUGUAAUUAUACUUCUGAAUUUUAGAUGGAAGAAACUUCUCUCGAUAGUGAGCAAAAUGUUGCUGGGCAAGGCAGUGGGAGAUUUCAAGAAAUAGAGUCAGAUGAUCAGAACAGUGAGAAAAUUGAGUCAGAUGAAUUAUUUGUACAAAAUGGUGUGCAAAUAGAGGCAAAUGGUUUAGAUGAUCACAAUUGUGUUACUGAGGAUGGGCAGAAGGAAUUUGUUGCCCCAGCAGUUGGAAUGGAGUUUGAAUCGUAUGAUGAUGCUUAUAACUAUUAUAAUUGUUAUUCCAGGGAGGUUGGUUUUCGUGUUAGGGUAAAAAAUUCUUGGUUCAAAAGAAAUAGCAGGGAGAAGUAUGGUGCAGUACUAUGCUGUAGUAGUCAGGGUUUCAAGAGGAUUAAAGAUGUAAACCGGCUGCGCAAGGAAACUAGAACUGGUUGUCCUGCAAUGAUGAGGAUGAGAAUGGUGGACUCUAAAAGAUGGAGAGUACUCGAAGUUACUCUUGAACACAAUCAUUCCUUAGGUACAAAAGCAUACAAGACUAUCAUGAAAACAGGUACUGGAAACAAGAAGAAGUUGGAUUCAAACUGUAACGCUGAAGUGCAAACGAUUAAGUUAUACCGGGCACUAGUGAUUGAUGCAGGUGCAACUAGGAAUGCCAAUUUUAGUGCAAGGAGGUGCCAAACUUCAUCUGAUUGCCAUGAUAAGCUGAACUUAAGAAAAGGAGACACACAAGCCAUGUAUAAUUAUUUCUGCCGCAUGCAAUUGACAAAUCCAAACUUCUUUUACUUGAUGGAUCUGAACGAUGAAGGGCAGUUGAGGAACGUGUUCUGGAUUGAUGCCAGGUCAAGGGCGGCAUAUGCUUACUUUGUUGAUGUGAUCUAUAUCGAUAAUUCAUAUUUGUCCAACAAAUAUGAGAUCCCUCUUGUGGCAUUUGUGGGAACAAAUCACCAUGGUCAAUCAAUGUUGCUGGGCUGUGGCCUGCUUGCUGGUGAGACUAAGGCCUCUUAUGUUUGGAUGUUUAAAGCUUGGCUCACCUGCUCUCUUGGACGUUUCCCUCAAACAAUUAUUACAGAAAGGUGCAAGGUUUUGGAGACUGCAAUUCAUGAGGUAUUCCCGAGGUCUCUUCAUCGUUUUGCUUUAUCACACAUCCUGAGGAAAGUUCCAGAAAAGUUGGGAGGAUUGCGUAACUAUGAUGUUAUUCGGAAGGCAUUGUUUAAAACAAUAUAUGAGGGUCUAAAGCCAUUUGAUUUUGAAGCAGCAUGGAGAGUUAUGAUCCAAAGAUCUGGAGUGGGUGAUCACGAGUGGCUUUGUUCAUUGUACAAUGACCGAGCUAAAUGGGCUCCAGUUUAUCUGAAAGAUACUUUCUUUGCUGGAAUGGCCACUGCCAGAUCCAAUGAAACAUUGACUGCUUUUUUUGACAAAUAUGUGCACAAGCAAACGCCUCUAAAAGAGUUUCUUGACAAAUAUGAAUUAGCUUUACAGAAAAAGUUCAAGGAAGAAGCUCUUGCAGAUAUGGAGUCGAGAAGCUCAAACCCUGAACUCAAAACAAGGUGUUCGUUUGAGCUGCAGCUUUCAAAAGUGUACACUAGAGAGAUCUUUAAAAGAUUUCAGUUAGAGGUAGAAGAGAUGUAUUCUUGUUUUAGUACAACAAAGUUACAUGUUGAUGGGCAGGUGGUAAUAUUUUUGGUGAAGGAGCGUGUUUUGGAAGAGGGGAAUAGGAGAGAGAUACGGGACUAUGAAGUUCUGUACAACAGAGAAGCAGCAGAAGUUCGUUGCAUUUGUAGCUGCUUCAACUUCUAUGGAUAUUUGUGCAGGCACGCAUUGUGUGUGCUGAACUUCAAUGGUGUGGAAGAGAUCCCGUCAAAGUACAUUUUAUCACGGUGGAAAAAGGAUUACAAAAGGUUAUGUGCAUUAGAUGUUGAAUCUAGUUUUACCGAGUCCACUGAACAGGUUCAAUGGUAUAGCCAGUUGUAUAUAAGUGCAUUACAAGUUGUGGAAGAAGGGGUGAUUUCCCUAGAUCAUUAUAAAGUAGCCCUAAAUGCAUUUGAAGAGUCUCUGUCCAGAGUUCACCACAUUGAAGAAAAAACCAAAUAAAAAUUUGUUGUAUUUAGCAUAUCUACUAUCUGUUCUUGUUAUCGAAGGGUGCCUAAAAAUCUCUUCUUGUGUAUAAUGAUAAUAGAACAAGUACAUCUGUAAAACCCUUGUCUUCCUAUGCAUAAAUGUGUGAAUGUAAUGCUCCCAGAAGCUUUGGACCUGAGAAGUUGAAAGAACAGAUUAUUUUUGUGCCUUACUAUGCAUAAUGGAAUUCUACGCAUGCUAUCUGUUCUUAGGCAUCAACUCAUGUAUAGUAUUUUCUUGUGUGACCUUGUUGUACUUUACCAGUCCUUGCUUUUCAUCCAAAAUUCAGAAGAAAAAGUAAAAGAACAUAUAAGGUUGAGGGAGAAUUGGAGAAAGAUGAUUAAAUAAGACGGAGAUAUUUUUAGUUUAUCGAGAACACAAUCCUAAAUAGAAAAGAGAGGUGAAGUAUAAGGAUAUAUGGUUAGUAAAUAGUUUCUUUCUUCCAAAUGGUAGAUAGGGUUCGAGUCUUGUUUAUCAAUAUUAUUAUUAUUGUAUUAACGUUAUUUUAUCUUUCAAUUUUAUUAUUACCAUUAGUAUUUCUCUUACUUUAGUAGUUUUUUCUGUAUUUUAACUAUUGUAUUUCUUUCGAACUAUUAUGAGAAAUGAUUUUCUUGAGUUGGGUCGAUUAGAAACAACUUUCUUACCCAUCAAAAUACAUAUAUGGCAUACCUAUGCCUCAUUAUUUUUUUAAAAUUUAUUGAUAAAAUUAUACUGAAUAUGUUAUUGUCAGUGGCAUGUGUUUUAAGAGGCAGAUAAGCAUGUAUUUACGGGUCAUCUUAUUUUAGACAGGAAAAAAAUGUCAUAAAAUAGUUCUCAUUUUGCCUUGCUUCACUUCUCCCGCCAUUUAUGAAAAGGAAAGAGGGAAAGAGCUCUGAACCCUACCUGACCUAAUUCGUCGUCGAUCUGGUAAGUUUCUCCGUGGUCUCUCUCGAAAUGAAACCUACUCGUUGUUCAAUUCUCCGUCAGGUUUCAUCUAUUUUCUCGUAUUCGCGACUACUUGUUCUUACUGUGGACGUUUCUGAGGUGGUAGUUGAAUUUUAAGGCUCCUCGAUUGUUGAUUUUUCCGGUACAGUGAAUGUGAUCUGCACACUAUAAUUCUUAUUCUGGUUGAAUUUUAUUCCCAAAUGCUGUUCAAUGAUUUUAUUGCUUGUAUACUAUGUAAAUUGAGUUCGUAAUUCUUCAGACGUAGUAAGCAUAAAACCUAAAAACCUCUCUAGUUGCGUCUGCAGUUUUUUUUUCUUUCUGAAUCCUCUAAUAGUUUGGUAAAGAUAACGGGAGCUUGAUGAGCACUUGAGCUUUACUUUUAAUAAAUCUGGAGGAGAUUGCUUGGUCUUGUAGUAAUCUGGGUGGUACUGAAUUUCCUUGUAGUGUUUAUUGAACUAAAUGAAGUUCAAGGCGUUUCUAUCGGACAAUGGUGUCAGCCUCUUGGACAAGAGGUUCUUGCCAGCCCUUGAAAAAAUGGGAAAGAUUUGUCACCUCUAUCUAACGAGAGACCAUGUAUACUUCCUUCAUAACCUCCUUAAUGGUGAUGGCAUCCAAUGCAUUGCUCAAUUUCGUAAAGAAGCACUCUUUGAUGAGUAUCGCCUCUCUAGCCAAAAUGAUGAUCGGAUUUCUUUUGCUAUUGACCUCUCUCUUCUGCAUCGUGCCCUUCAUAGCAUCAUUAGUAUUUACACUGAGUUCAGUGCGGGUGACAGUGGAGUUCCUGGUGGAAACAGCGCCCCUAACCACAUCCAAAUCAAGCUGGUAAAAAAGCUCCCUCCUCAUUCUCAACAACCAAUGCCUUUUCUCACUUUUGAGACAAAAGGUUACAAGUCUGCUGUUAUUCAAGAUGUGCCCAUAUCUAAGCCCUUGUCAAGGUCUGAUGUACUUGAAUUACAAGCAGCCCUUGAUAUGGCCCAAGAUUUGCCUCAGACCCUUAUACAAGUCCCACACAUGCACCAGUUACAGAACUUUGUGGAAAAAAUGAAAAAUGUCGGUGAUGUCCUUAAUGUUUCUAUUAGCAAGUAUGGUGAUCUCCAUCUGCAAGUUUCUACUAGCCUCAUCACACUUGGUGCUGAGUUCCGAAAGCUGUCAGUUAUAGGAGACCAAGCACAGAGUCCAACAGAUGAUCAAAAUUUGAGUGCUCAGUCAAGGACAAGAAUAGCACUUCAGAGAGGAGAUGCAAUGACAGUGCAAGUGAGUGUAAAGCAUUUCUUCAAGAGUCUUCAGUGUCAUGCAGCCAAGCCUGAUUGCGCUUUCUAUGGGAUAACUCAGCAGGGUGCCUGCUUAACAGUCGUAUUUCAGUUCUUCAUCCCAGGCACACAUCAAACUGAUAAGGCAAUCAGUCUACAUUGCCGGCUACCCGUCCUUGAUCCUGGAGCUAGUUGAUAAGUUUGUAAAAUUAAUAUUUGUAUUUCUUUGGCUUAGAAGUACUUUUGCCAGUUUAACCUUCCUAAAUGGUCAUGUGAAGACUUUAUUAGUCACCAGAACAUGGAUUACAGUGUCCUUCUGUUUAUAGUUAAAUGAAGACUUGAUUUUGUGGAUUCAACUCUCGAUGCUUCCGUAAGACACUUGAUAUAUAUACAUAGAAGCUUAAAGGGCUGGGAUAACAGAGUAGAGUAUGGGUAAGGAAACUAAAGUAUGAUGGAAAAAUGUAGAAUAUCUUGCUCCAUCAUACUUGUACUUGCAAUCCUUAGCAAUGAAGUAAUGUUUCUCCACUGUGAAAUUUGUUUCUUUUUUUUUUUUUGAAAAAGAAAGUGAAACUUUUUUCUUCUUGCUUUUUAGGUGACUACAUAAAAGUUAAUGCUAUCUUAAAGUUCAUUCUAACAUUAUCUGGGACAUGCACAUUGCCCUUAAAAUAUUAUCAAUCUUGUUAUGUUUCUUUCCCUUAACACGUGAUGUCCACCUCAGGCUCUUGGCUGGUGGAAUAGUCACGUUACCAAAAGCGAUUUGCACCCUGCCAUAGUGGAUUUGUUUUUUGACUCCCUCUUCUUCACUUUCUUCGUCUUAAUCCUCUUUUGGAUUUUAUAUUCUCUUUUUUUCUCUUUUUAUUUUAUAAGGUUUCAACUUAUUGAGUACAUAACUUGAUGUGGAAGACAUGAAUAAGGAUAAAAGAUUAAUAGGUAGAAGUAACAUCGUAUUGUUUCUUCCUCUCUUUUUUUUUUAAAAUCUUUUUUCUGGAUUGCUAAUGCUUUGGAUUGUUUUUUCUUGACCGUAGAGUCUAUUUGAAUCUCUCUAAGGUUGGAAGAAAGUUUAUAUACAAUCUACCCCUUUUGGGAUCAAAUUGAUAAAAAAAAAGUAUUUCUCAAUUCCUUCUCUUUUUUCCCCAAUGCCAUAAAAUGUCAAAGUCUUUAAUUUAAGUUAGAGACGGUGAUGAGGAAAUAUAGUCUUAAUUUUAAGACACCAACUUUUCUCAUAAAAGUUUUAGACAAGUCAAUUAUUAAAGACAAAUAGUUGAUUGAAAUAGUACGUGUUAUUCUUUAUUUUCAAAAAAGGAGAUGGAAUAUAAUCAGAAUUUUUUAAUAAUUAAUUUUGAAAGGUUAUAUAUAUAUUUUUUAUAAACAUGUUGGCUAAAUCAAAUGUUAAAAAUAAUAAUCAAGUGAGAGAGAAUAAUGUUUUUCUUCUACCUCCUUAGCCUUAGUACUUCAUGUUAUUACUAAACGAAAUGACUUAAUGGAUUCUUAAAACUUAUUACGUUCGAAUUUAAACUUGUCAUUAUCUAGUUAAUUUAUUGUAAUAAUUAUUUCACAACUUUAUUAUCAUAUGAAAAAUAAAAACACGUCAAAAUUUAAUAACUUCCCUAUUAUAUAGUGCAUAUAGUUCAUUAAUUUAAAUAUAACAGAACUAAUUAUAUAUUAACUUAACUUUACAGAAAAAGGGAAACUGCAAAUAUAAAGUUAACUGUUCAAAUCAAGCUUUGGAUCUAUUUACGUUAUAAAAGGAUUUAUAUUUUUGGCUCCGCCCAUAACUAUAAAGCUUAAAGCAACAGCCAAUUAAAGAAAAAAAUAAAAAUAAAAGUAAAAGUAGAAAAGGAAGGAUUCAGAGGGCACGUGGAAAAGCAACAUGCAAAGUUUCGGAUCCAUAAAACCCGACCCAUUUGUUUGAUCCGAACCGCAUGUUUGCCAACUUUUUCUAAUUUUUUUUAUAUAUAUAAAUCAGUCCUCCAUGCACUACUCUCUCAUUUUUUCGCUUUCCAAAUUCCACCGUUUCGAUGGAGUUGAUGAACCGCAUUUGCUCUGACUCUCCAUACGUAUGUUUUCAGUACUUACUUUCUCCUAAUUUCACUAAAUUUUUUACUCUAACAAGUUUAUACACACUUAAUUUUGUUUUCAAGAAUUCGAUUCUUCCUACUUUUCUGGAAUUUAAAUAUGAACUGAUUUUUGUUAGUUGUUUUCUUUAAUAUCGGUAAUUCUUUUGGCAAGUAUAUCAAGAUUAUGAUCACUGUGUACAAAGUGGGAUGUCACUUUUUUUUUUACUUGGUACUAAAAGAAGAAUCUUGUUUACAUUCUUGAUUUCUUUGACAUCUUCUUUGAACGAUUUGCCUUAAUUACUUGGUCUUAAAACAAGAAUCUUGUUACAUUCUUGAAUUCUUGAACAGUUUGCCUUGCCUGCAGUAGGUUAUUCUUUUUCUUUAAGCCAUGGGUUGUCCACUGAUUCUUUUUUUUUACACAGAGUAAUUAAUUAUGUGAAACGUUUUCUUGGUUUUAUUUCGGUUUUCUUUGUAAAUUUUCAAGAUUCUGUGUGGUACUGAGAUGAUUUCUUCUUGGUGUAACUUUAGUUCUCUAAGUUUGGAUAUUCUUGGUUUUUUUAAUUUUAUUGUUAAGUGUUUAAAGCAAGAAACUACGUGUACAUUCUGUCUGAGACUGAGAGAGUGGGUGAGCAUGUAUGUGGAUCAUGAAUAUCACUUAAUUAAAUCUUUUUCACUUUCUCUAUAUGGUAGAACUUUGUAUAUUGUCGUUUGUGCUAGUGUUCUCAUAAUUCUUAUGACUUCUGUUUUGAUUUCUGGAUGGUUAGGUUUGGAAUAGCGACGGUGUUUCAGAGUGUUUCAGCAACUUAUAUCCUUCGAGUUGUGUAUUUUUAUAUGCUAAUAAAGUUACACCAAUUGUUGUUACUGUUUAUUACCUUAACCAUAUUCACAGUAUUAGGUUUUGGAGCCAAUAUCUUGACUAUUGUUCUUGUUGCUGCUAUAGGAGCGGGUAAAAGGAGUUCCAAAGAUGGAAGUAGGGUAUGUUCAUUGCAAGAGAAGCGCAUAGCAUUACUAUAGUUUGUCAUUUAGAAUUUAAAUGAUUGAAUGCUUUAUGGAGGGUUUAAAAGUGAGGCAAUGGAUUUUCGGUCUGUAAAAGUAGGACUCUAUCAAUAAGUAUACUCCUUCCAUUUAGGGAAGUAGAUUUCAUUUGCGAUGAUUCAUAUUGGGAAGUAAAACACUUAAUUAGAUUUGCAUCUUAAUGCGUUUUUCGUAUCUGAUUGGAAAAUUAUGUUAGCCUUUAUCUCUAUUUCUUGGAGAAGGGAGGGUGAUCAUAUAUUUUCUGCACAGUUUUUUUAGGUUGGAUAAUCAUCAAUCUGAGUUUGUGAUCAAAUUCCUAACUGUUGAAGAAACUAGUUUUACUAUAGGUUACGUAUAAUGUGAAACUGUGUUUGUGAUAGUAAACAUAAUCCAAUUUUGCUGUCUGAGGUUCAGUUGAGUUUUCUCAUUAAAGGUGAAUGGUUGUGAAGACUUGCAUUAAAAGGAGUAUAUUUUGGGGAGAAAAGUGAUUAGACUAUAGUAUGGAAGAGAUUGGACAGGAGGCGUAUUCAGAUGUUGAUGAGUUAUCAAAAUUCAUUAGGUUCAAAUUAGUAAUGUCCAUCAUUGCUCUCCUUUUCCUAGAUGAGUAUCAGUUUCUGGAGAUUCAGUGAAGAACUUUUAUGUAGGUUAGCCUAGACACCAAAAUUAUAAAACUAAAGGAAUUUUGUGUAGUUUAAUGAAUAUUUUAUUAUAAGAAGGUUUUUGGUGCUAUCUUUUGGCUGUGUAGCAAGCAUGGCAUAGUCAGGAACAUGCAAGCAUAGAUUGUUGCAGUAAGAUACUGACCAAAAACUCCAAACAUUUUUUGUCUCUCAUUUCAAGACAGAGGCGGCACUAUAUUGUUAUUGAGCUAUAGCUUCAGAUUUAAAUAUUUACCUCACAUAAUUGUUUUACCUAUUAGAUAACAUCAACUAUUUCUUCCCCUGAUGUAAUUAACAGGAAAUGAGGAAGUUUAUCAGGUUUUGGUGUUUUGUGCAAGGAAAGUAUAACAUUGUUAUUUCUCUGUUCACUGCUGUCAUUGUGGCUUGACAAUUGUAGUUAUUACAAUUUUCUUAAAUCGCAUAGGAUUUUGGCACAUAAGAAGGUUAGAGAUGAAAAUGCAUCUUGGGAAGUGUUCAUGUCAUUUAUCUUUUGAUUGUAUGCAAGGAAACAAACGAGGGUCUUUGAUAGGGUUCAAGACCCUGUGUAGAAGUCUGAGGUUUCACUUUAUAUUUAUGUUUGAGUGAAGAAUAUUGGGUAUCUAGCUAUUCGGUUAGAUUACUUAGAGCCAAUUUGUUUUACAUAAUAUUGUACUUUGCAUGCUGUCUUGGUGCUUUAUGGAGUUUAAUUAACUAAUAGAUGACAAAAUAGUAUUUUUCUUAUUUAUUUAUGAUUAAUCUUUUCAAUUCUAGGUUUGAAUUGCCUUAUUUCAUGGUUCUCAUUCUCCUAACUUUCUAACUGCUCUUUUUGACUUGUAAUUGAGCCAAUUAUUUUUAUCGAACUCUUCACCCAAUGUAGUUGGAUUAGUAAAUUCUUCAUGAGGUGUUUCCAUGGGCUAAUGGUCUACAGGGAUGAAACAGAUAUCCGUUCUGGCAAACGUUUUCUUGCAUCUGAUUCCUGCUUUAGGUGCAAGCAUGGCACUCUGUGACUUGGUUGUGCUAAUCAAAAAGAUGUUAGAUAGUUCUCAUGUUCAGUAUCAUGAAUGGCUCUUCAGGUUUUCACAAUUGUCAGUUUGGGUGAGCUUUGCACUUCUCUACCACAUUAUGAAUUUGUUUGCAACAACUUCCAUUUCUCAUCAGGCAUACUUUUACAGGCUACCAUUCUGCUGGUCUUGAAGUGUGGGUACUGCUAUGUUGUUUGCUGCAACCCCAUCAUGUGUGUUUGGUGGAUGUUGAAAUUUCUUCUUUUAGUACCUCAUUUACAAAGAGAUUUUACUUCUCUUCAGGUACAACUUAUAAUUCUGAGGAAAUUUUGUCUGGUUUUCUCUGCACCGAGUUUCUUAAAAUAGUGGACAUGUUGGAUCUGUGAAAUUUACUUUCUCGAAAGCUCAGUUUUUAUGUGUUAGUAAAUGCAUUGAUCAGUUUAAAAAAUGUACCUACAAGUAAAAAUGCUGAAUGUUGUUGCACUUCAGAAUCAGAGUUUAAUUUUUUUGUUACUUUCAACUCAAAUUCUCGUAUUUGUUGGGUAUUGGUACUUUAUUGUGCAUUGAUAUUGGAUUCUUCUAAAAAUGUUUUUUCUAGGCUUGACUAGUGGUAUAUUUAACAAGUAUGCAGCAGAUUACGGGUUACCACCAACUCUGGUGUCAAAGCAUAUUAUUAGAUUCUUUACAUUAAGCUGAAGAUAAAGGUGGUAUUAUUAUCUUAUGAAUCUUUUUGGUCCUCAUGGAUAUACACAUUAAGGUCUCUGAACCAACAUCUUAUGUGAGAGAAAAUGUCUGUUCGGGAGGAGGCUUUAUUGGUCUUGAACAAUUGUUCAUGUUUGAUUCUUGAUACUUAUCUUGCAACAUUUAUCACCUAAAUUCUGCAGAUAACUGAGUGUUGGAAGAGUCUAAUAUGAUUUUGCUGUUGCAGGCUCUUUUGUGUCUUAAAGAAGGCUUCACUGCUUUAGUGGAUAUAAGUUUUGGAGUUUUGAUUAUUAUAACCAGAAGUACAACAAGGCCUCAGAGUAGUAGGUAUUUCCUCUCUUGUUUUUGGCAUAAUGUAAUUGUAAUGAUUCAAAGAUCCAGCUAUGGUUAUGUCAUCUCUGCUCCUAGCCUCCUUGUGUAGUGAAUAAUCACAUUGAACAUCUACAUAAAGAUUAGAGGUUACCUGAGAGAUGAGAGGCCGGAAAGAAAAAAGUUAGUCAUCCUAGUAAGGAGUAGUGGCUGAUAAUUUUAAAAAAUUAGAACUUUGUGCCAUUGAUGAUUAUGGAUAACAUAUACACUAUUAGCAUUAAGCAGUGAAUGCAAAAUAAAAAUAAAAAUGAAAGGUAUCUUUUCUUGAGAUGAAAACAAACAAAUGCAAUGGAUUUAGCAUAACACCUCUCUCAAAGCAAGUUUAUUUCAAGUGUAUUAAACAUACUGGAGAAUGAAUGACAAAAUGUAAUGAAACUUAGCUAUGGUCCACAGAUAUUUUUACCUGUUAUUUGUAAUCCAAAAUGGGAUCAUAAAAUAUUCUAAUCCUCUAUCACCUUGCUAAGUUAAUAUGAAAUUACAUCCAGAUUUUGCAUAUUCAACCAGCUAUUGGAUAUGUAUAACAGUUUAAAUGUUGAUAAUCAUCUAAUCCCUUGAAUGCAUGUUACUUUGACUGUAUGAGCUUUUCAAAUUUUAAUAUGUACACAAUAAUUGUCUUGCAUAAAAGUUCUCCUUUAUAUAUACCUGCAUUGUGUUGGGUGAUAUAAUCCAUGCAGGUGUAUAGAAGUUUUUUCCAUUUCAUCAACCUGGAGUCAUCAUAUAUUUAUUUUUUAUCAUGUAUUUUCGACAUGACAAUAUGAUCUGGCAACAAUUUGUCAGAUUUUGUAAUUUCAUAUAUAUUGAUCAAACACUGAUUUGUCACUUAAAGUUCAUUUAUCCAGUAGGUAAUACAUUUGUGUGUCUUUUUUUUCUUAUUCAAUAAUCACUUCAUGGUUAAUUGCAAAAUAAACAGUUGCAUGGAAGAGGAAUUACUUCUGCCCAGAAAAAUGGACACUGGUCAAGGUAGCUCCAGAGGAGUGGUAUGUAUAUCUUUUCCAUUGAUUAAGAUUUUUCAUCCUAUUUAAUAUUUAUUGAAUUUCAUCAUGGUAUUGUUGUAUAUGAAAACACUGACACCAGUUUUAUCACUUUGGAGAUGUCAGAAAACACUAGUUCUCUGUUUUUUUUUUUUUUUUAAAAUGUCAUUAACUCUGUACGUUCUCUCUGUUAAAUGGUGAGGAAUGCAUCUUCCUUUCUACUUUGUACACAAGCGAGUAUUGGUUGCCUAUAACAUUUAGUUUCUAUCUUCUAUCUUCUGUUCAUUCUUAUCUUGGGACAAUGGUUUCAUUGGAUAUUAGUCAAAGGGUGUUGUAUGCAACUGCUGGAAUCUGAUAACAUUCAAAUCUGUCAAACCCGUAAUGGAACGCGGAGUAAAAAGGCAGCUUGACUAUGAAGAUUUACUUGAGCUACCCACUGAUAUGGAUCCUUCAUCCUGCCACACUUUGCUGUCAACAUGCUGGAAAGCUCAACAAAGAAAUGAAUAUUCUCAUCCUUCAUUAAUCAAAACAAUAUGUCGUGCAUUUGGAUGGCAAUAUUUCCGUUUAGGUCUUCUGAAGGUAAUAUAUUACCACUCUAUGUUAGUUUCGGAAAGUUAGAAGAACCAAUGUGUCAAUGUCACCUAGCUGAUGCUUCUCUGAUAAAUUCAUUGAUAAGAAGUUGUAACUAUACGACUCGAUGCAUAUACAUUGGUUUGAUGCUGUAUAAUCUCAACGUAAUGCUUCCUGUGUAUGUUGUUGUUCUCUGUGUGAACUUGCCAAAUUUUCUCUUUUGGUUUUAGGGCUGACCAGCUAACUCCCAAAUUAUGCAUUUAUUACACCAGAAACUUGAUUUAUAGAGAUAUAUAUUAGAGAGACUAUCAUUCUUAAUUAUAGUUCUGUAGGGAUAGUGAAAAUUGCAGGAUACUACAUUGUGACCAAAAUUUUGUGCUAAGUGUGUGACCCCACAAGUAAAUUAGAAGAUCCAAUGAUUCAUUUUCAGUUCCCAAUUUCGAAACCCCUAUUCCGCUUGUCCAAAAAUAAAUACAGCCCAACAGUUCCCAUCCCCAAAUUCCUGUUAGAAACACUCAAAAUCUCACUGUGCUAGUUUUGUUCUCUUAAUAUAAUUCAAACAACUCUAGAUAACCAAAUCAAAACCUUUACCAUGACCUAUGACUAGACAAUGAGAGUCAGUAGAAUAGGACAAGCGAACUGCCUACUGAUUCCAUAAAGGUUUAUUACAGAGAGCUUUUGCAUAAUGCAAGCUGGUAACUGAUGAAAGUUUUUUCUGCUUUUUGGUGACUAACUUUUUAUAUUGCAUACCACAAGUUUUUGGUGUUUGCUUACGUGGCAUCAUAGGCAAUGUUUUUUUUAAAUAUAGGGACUAGUUAGAUCUCAAGACCAAUAUAUGAAUUUGAUAAUGCAUUCUUUAUUAAAAUGAAGUACUGAAUUUGUUAAUACCUUUUUUGAUCUUGUCAAUAUAUUCAAAAAGUUGUAACAUUUCUCGAUUUCGUAGGUUCUUAAUGACUGUCUCAGUUUUGCGGGUCCAGUGCUUCUCAAUAAGUUGAUUAGCUUUCUACAGCAAGGUUUGCAUAUACCGAUAUUUCAUUGUUUUCCAGUAUCCUUCAGAUUUUGAUUUUAAUGAACUUAAUUCAUAUUUUUCACUGGAAAAAUGAUUAUUUCUCUCUUGUUUUUGGAGUCUUUGAUAUUCCAAGACAGUUGCUUUUCCUUGCGUUUCAGCUGGCAUAACAAUUAAUGCUCUGCUAGAGUUGAUUAUAACCUUGUUUUACACAAAUGCGAUCAGAAGUUUCUGAAUGAUUUCUCGACAAACAACAUAAUGCCUUCAUAGAAUUAAUUCUAACCUGAUCUUGGUACAUGUUCUGUUGAAAUUUUCAGAAUCAUCAAUCUUGUCUCCAUUCAGUUGCUGCAAGUCCUCUUUUGGCUUUUUACUGCAGAUGUUUAGUCUCCAUCAAUCAUUAGAGUGUAGCUUUUUAGUUGAAGCUACAUGCUUUCUUUUCCUUUACAAGGAUUGUAGUAUCUUCUGAUCUAACAGUGUUAUUAACAAUGUUUGGCUUUAAUUUUGUCUGACAUCGAACUCAAUUUAACAUUGAUCAAUUGACUAUUCAUUUGAUAAGUGUGCCAGAUGUCUUCAUGACUAUUCGUUGGUUCUUCUCAAACAUUCUCAAGGUCGAAUGACACUUUGUGACUGGUGUUCGUACUCUUUUUUAACAGGUUCAAGAGACUAUGACGGCUAUAUUCUUGCACUGUCCUUGGGCCUUUCUUCUGUCUUGAAGUAACUUUUACUCUUCGUUCCUGGAAUUCACUUUAAUUUCAAGUUAUGAUAUGUUUUGUCUUAUUUCAAGUUCUUCUUAAGCUACAUGUUGUUCUUGGUGACUUUGUAGCAGAACUCUAGUUGCUGACAGAAUUCUGAUGCCCACUGUUGUCUUGCGCACACAUAAAUAAAGAAGAGAAAAUAGGUGUAGACUAGCCUGUCACAAUCUACAUAUCUAACUGUAUUAUGAGCAUUUGGGAUUUCAAGUUGUAUCUCAUGGUAACUAGGUUGUCACAAUCUAACUGUCUAACUGCUUAAGGUGUUAGGAAGGACGUGUUCAUAUAUUUUUCUGUGAAAUCUUAGAAGAGAUGUCACUUCCAUGUAUAAUAAGCUAUAAGCAUGUGAUCACGUUGGGUCUUGGAUAGGUGUAGACUUUUACUUUAAAAUUUGCUCUUAUCAACAUUUUCUUAGAGUGGUUUAUUUCAUCCUAUCUCUGUAUCACCAACCCUUGUUAGAAUUUGCUUUAGUUUUUCCCUUUUGAAUUUGAGUUUUGGAAUAUUCUGUAUUGGAAAUGGAAAGUGGAUUUUAAUUGGAGUUCUAUACAUCUCAUGUUUUCUCUGUAUUCUUAUUGUGACAAGCUUACUACCUGAUCUUGUUAUCUAUAUUCCAAAUACUUCUCAUACUAGCUAGCAUGCAAAAUGUCGUUCUCGAAUUUGUCUGACCUUUUUAGUUAUAUAACUUAUAUUGUAUGUUACUAUUAAGCUCUGAUUAUGACACUAAGUAUCAGAAGUUCUUUGUGUAAUGCUGCAGAUCGUUCCUUGAUACACAAUAUACUUUUCAUCUUUCAAAGCUCAAGCUCAAGCUAAGAUCCAGUAUCAUGAGUCUUAUUUAUGGAAAGGUGAAUCUUCUUUAUCAGCAAUAAGCUAUUACGAGUUUCAUCUUUAUCAUCUUGAAGAGUCUGUUCUAUAGCCACAUUACAGCUGUCCAUAUUGCAUCUUUGUAUCAUACUAUUUAUCUUCUUAUUUGGAUAUGUUCAUUUUGUGAUUUAUAUAAUGAGUAAUUUUAUAUAUAGACCAUUUACAUGGUAAAGUGGUUUUUUAAUAGCUUCUUUGAAUUUGGACAGUGUCUGGUGUUUCUUUCUUGUCAAAUGAGGAAGACAUCUUUUGUCAUUGUUUUCUAGUGAAAUUAUCUUAAUUUUUUUAGCUUUCAGAUACUAGGUCUUAGCUUUUUAAGGUCUGAAGAAUUAGAGAUUCCUAUUCCAACUGAAAAAAUGUUGUUGUUUUCUUAUGUUCUCAACUGUAUGAUUUUUGUCUUUCAAAAGCCUAAACUGGAAAUUUUUACAAUAACAACUAUGCUUCAGUCCCAAACAAGUUCGUGUCAGUGAUAUGAAUCCUCAUUUACUAUGUUACUCUUAUAAACUCAUCUCCGAUAUUAUACAAAUAAAAAAGAAAAGUACUCGAAGUUCUUCAUUCAGAUUAUUUCCAUUUGUGUAUUUCUCAAACUCGGAAUGUGUCCUAAAUGAAAUAUUGACAUUCAUUUUGUGUUUGGUUAAAGCAAGUACAUUAGGAGUUUUGAGUUUUUUAGAUAGUAGAUAUGAUCGACAAUGAUUUGAGUGACGUUCUUAUACUAAUUGUUGUUGUCUAGAGUACUAGUGAGAAAAACAAUACAUUGGAUAUUUGUUCCAUGUUAAGGGUGUCCUACUGGUCUUCAUAACUGAAGACUAGGUAGGAGGGCCAAGCUCCAUUUGCAAAACCCAGGUAAUCCACGUGGAGAGUACCUUUUUAUUUAUUUUGAGUAUAAUGGCCAUAGGAUUAGUGAUAUAUCUACCUUUGUUUUUCUAUAGGUGUGGCCAUGUGUUGUAUACCACUUUUCAAAGCCUAAAGUGGCUACUGCUUACUUUUCAAACUUCAGAUCUAAGUGAAAGAUUUCUAUCUACAAGAUAUUUUGUGACUAACAAUGCCAUUUUUUCCUUUCAAGUGUCUUUCUGUUAGUUUGGCCGAGAGAUCAAAAUUUUCUGAAGGAGAAAUUCAGACAUUCAUGUCUGUGGAUGCGGAUCGAAUUGUGAACCUGUGUAAUAGUUUUCAUGAUAUGUGGAGGUUAGUAUUUUCUAUCCCGAGAAGAUCAGUAACAAUGUAAUUGGUUGGUCCAUCACCCCCACCCCACCGGCCCACCCCCAACCCCAAAAUAAGAUAUUCAAAUGUAGAUGAAUAGAACUUCCUUUUGUUUUCUAAUUUUUUUUAUGGCCGGUUUUCGAAAGAUCUAAGUAAAGGCUUAAUCCAUGCAGUAGUGGAUGCUUUUCUUUUUUGUAAGUUAUGAUAUUUUAUACAUGGUAUAACAGCGCUAAAUAGUGCAUUCAAAAUUACAAAGUGUGCAUAGCCCUGAUCAUAUAUAACGUGGAAUCUAAAUGCAACUAAAAUUUGGUAUGAUGGGUUGUGCUGAUAAAUCUUUGACUUCGAGACUUUGUGUUACCUUUGUUUCUUAUACUCGAGUCUCGAUGCAUAUUCAUGACUGAAUAUUCAUGUAUUUUGUUUGAUGAUGCCACUGUUUAUUUCACUAUCUGACCCUCAAUCUUAGCUUUUCUGGGGAUAAAUAGUGAUGAAUUGUUGCUAAAAAGAUUGGUACUGCUCUGCAAUAUGUUGAACAAACUGUAAUGUGUUAAAUCAGGGUAUAGAGAAAGCAUCUGUUCGUAUGCAUUUUUUCUUUUGUUCUUGCUCUUCUUGUUGCUUUUGUUGUUAAGUGCAUCUAAUAAAAAAAAAGAGGACUUUUUCAAGAUCUACCUUAAACUCACUACUCCUCGUGACAAAGUGUGCUUAUUUGAAAUGUGAUGAAACAUAUUUGAAGCCUUUCUUUCCAGAUAACAUCUAGCAUUCUGCCUUUCUGAAAUGAUCAGAGCUCUAAUAAAUAAAGAAUGAAGUUUCCCAAGCUUGGAUUUUGUCCAUUUUUCCUUUUCUUGGUUUCUGGAUGUAUUAAUCAUAAAAUGCAUCAGUUUGCCAUUGCAGAUUGGAAUAGCUCUUUAUCUCCUGUAUACACAAGUCAAAUUCGCAUUUCUUUCUGGAAUAGCUAUAACAAUAUUGCUAAUACCAGGUACUAGAUGACUCUGAUAUAGAUUUGAACAUGCUGCAAAAUUAAUUGACAAUUUAAUGCGAUGUGUUUGCCUAAAUACGAAGCGCUCAUAUUACAAGAGACAACUAUAUGUUUAAGUUGGUCUGAUGGAAAUAUGGUGUUGCUAUGAUACUAAGGAUAUGGACAGCUUGCUUAUUUGGAGAUUUUGUUAGUGAUAAAUAUUGAUUAGUUGUCACUAGAAACGUUGUUGAUAUGAUUGUGUUGUGCUUAAAAAUUUUGUCCAGUAAAACUGUCAGUAUUUUCCAUAACCAUGGUAAUUUGCAGAUCAGUUUUCCUUGAUGAGAGGGAUUGAUGAAGGUUUAGUCCCUGGUUUCAGGAGCAGUUUAUUUUUUUCGACUAAUAUAACAUAUCAGCAUCUGUAAUAAAAUCAGUAGUCUUUGUUGUUUAAAACCUUGUCCUAGGUCGUUCUUGAUAUGCCAAGGUCUUACCGGCUUAGUCAAUUCUAGAGAAGGCUUGACAAUUGUUGUUUUUUGCAGUUAAUAAGUGGAUUGCAAAUGUAAUUGCAAAAGCUACAAAGAGCAUGAUGGAGCAAAAGGAUGAAAGGUAUAUGCCAGCAACUCUUUAGAGCCUCGCUGAAGUUCAUAUGGGACUAAUAUUUUGGUUGCAGUUCUCUUUUUCUUAUUGUUUUAUCUUCUUUUAUCUAAUAUCCAAUCCUGAAAUGUAUAUUCAUUCAUUAUUUAAACAUUUCUUAUCAUAAGAGAAGUAUAUUCAUUCAUUAUUUAAACAUUUCUUAUCGGAAAAAAGUAUGUUCAUUCAUUAUUUAAACAUUUCUUAUCAAGGAAAAAAGAUGCAUGUUCAUUCUAUUUCUUUACGUAAGAUAUUGGAAAAAGAAAGUGUCUAUUGGUCCGCAUGUUUGAUAAUUACAAUUUUACAAAUUUCUUUUCUAGACCUGGCAGAGAGUUUGUAGUUUGUGACUCCCUGAAUAUGAUCAUAUCUCUUAACAUUCCUUUGCAGUUUUUGUCUGGUGACAAAAGUUGCUAUAGAUUGUUUACUAGAAUUAAGUAGAGUCAAAUCAGUGUUGCAUUUUGCUGAUACUAAGAAAUAGUUCACAUCUUAUCGGUGAUGUUAUUUUACGUUGUCGUGAAAUUAUUAUGUUGCCUUUUUUCUGAAGUGUUUGUUAGCUUACAGAAAGCAAAUUUUAUGUGUGUGGUAAAGGGAGACAUAUAAAUGAGAGCAGAUAGGUUUAAUAUGCAACCAGACAUUUAAGGCGUCUACUUUGGUUGGAUUUGAUCAGAUAGCAACUAAAGAUACCAGAUGGUUGCUGGUAAGGAAGUGUUGUAUGACAUAAGUGAACAAGUUGAAACAGUUCUUUUCCUUCACAGAGGAGAGAUGAUUUGUAUUGUGAUCUUGUCACAUCAUUAUAUAUGGCUGGCUUAAGAAGAAUUGAAAUAGAGCCCAGGGAUAAUUUUGAAGAUCGAAUAUUGUUCCACCUGCUUAGAUUCAUGCUGAAGUUAUGAUCAGGCCUGAAUGCUGGACCAGUUAAAAGAUCUGUACACACUUAAUCAACAACAGUUUCUGGAAGUAUUAUCUUGUAAGGAAGAAUUAGCUUACUCAAAAUCAAAUAGUUUAAAGAGACGUUCUUUUAAGCUGCUGACUUUCCAUACUUAGGUCGAUUCUGUCAUCAUGUUACUAAGACGUUGGACGUUCUUACAUUAUCCAUCUAGUUCCUUCACAAAUAGGAAAGUGCUGGUUGGAUUCUUUUCAGAGUCAAGCUGAUGGUUCUACUUGUUGAAGAGAAGUAUUUAAAAGAUGGUUGUUUGUGUAUACUUCUUAGGGUGGGAAGGAGUAGAAAAUCUUGGAUGCAUAUCAUGUGCGGGUUUUUUCAUUAAAAAUUACAAAAGAAGGGAUGAGUUAUGUCUUUUGAGUUUUUGUAAUUAACAUUCUCUAUAUUUGUUAUGAUAUAUUGUCCAUUCCUCUUUGCAGGAUAAGAAUGACAGCUGAGAUUUUAACACAUAUACGUACUUUGAAAAUGUAUGGUUGGGAGCUACUUUUUGGAAGUUGGCUGAUGAACACGAGAUCGGAAGAAGUAAAAUACCUUUCGGUGAGACAAUUUUCUUCUUCUUUCUAGUACAUUUUGUUUGAUAAUAGCAUGAGCCAUAUGACUUAAAUCUUGAAUGUAAGACUUUUUCAUGUUAGACUAGGAAAUACUUGGAUUCAUGGUGUGUUUUCUUCUGGGCAACAACACCUACACUUUUCUCGUUGUUCACAUUUGGACUAUAUACUUUGAGGGGCCAUCAACUUGAUGCAGCAACGGUACAAUGACGGAUUCUAAACUACUUGCUUACUUCAGUUCUUCUUUUUAAUCAUAUACAUUCCUAAUUGUUUGGUUAAUAUUGCAGGUUUUUACUUGUGUCGCACUGUUUAACAACUUGAUUUCUCCAUUAAAUUCAUUUCCGUGGGUCAUCAAUGGGUUAAUUGAUGUAAGUUUUGGAAAUUCUUUUCUUUGAGAAAUUAUCCUCCUUUAUUCUAUAAUAUCUUUCACUUUUUUUGUUUUGUUUUGCAGGCUGCAAUAUCUUCCAGGAGGUUAUGCAAGUAUUUAUCUUGUUUUGAGCAGGAGACAAACAUGGAACAACCAACCAAUUGUUCGGUUUUCUCAUGCUCUAAUAAGAAGAACGAAUUGCAAGAUGCGGCUGUUGUCAUCCAUGAUGCAUCUUGGACAUGGUCGAGCAGUGACGAGAAGGAAAUAGAUUUGAUUGUGGAUCCUGUUAAUCUUCUUAUUCCGAAAGGUUUACUGGUUGCAGUAGUUGGAGAGGUGGAACUCGACUUGAUACUGUUAUAAAUUAUUUAUUUUAUAGCCGUCAGCUUAUAAAUGUAAGAAAAUAUGGAGCAGCAUGCCUUAUUUGACAUGAAUCUUGAGCAUCUUAAGCCUUUGUUCUAUGUUUUUCACUUUAAGGUUCCCUUUUUACCAUUCACAAACUUUUUGGUUAUCCGGUGGCAUUUCAUAAGUUGAUGCAGGAAAAAGCAAACUAAACAAAUUUUGAAUCAAGUUAUAUUUGAUAUUUGUACACUUUUGUCUUAAAAAUGGAUAAUAUGUUUAGAAUUGUAAUUGCAAAGCAUCUGCUUUCUUAUUGGUGCAAAAAUGUGUUAUACCUGAGCUAGUCAGGAGUACUGCAUAUGUAUGACUUUCUAUUUGUGCCUCUCUUUUCACCGUGUCCUGUUAGAGAAGUUGGAGAUAUGAUUAUAGUUGCAGGAAAAAAAUCUGGAUCUAUAUCUAUGAGAUCUUUCUAUACUGUUGCUACAUGCAGUCUAGCGCAGACACUUUCUUUAUUUUAAUUCGCCUUAGUUCAGAGUUUGGUGUUUAUAACUGUAGGGAAGAAACUAUGGUUGGUGCAAUACUGUUUUACAAUAAGAAACUAUACCUCCCUUUUCAAGCAUAUGUAAUGGGUGUAACAUAUGAUGCACUAAUUUGCUUGAUUGAUGUUAUCCAGAGCUUCUACUCAGCAAGGUUACUUCCCCGAAAAACUAUUGUUUCUCUUAUUAUUAUGAAUAACUUCCUUGCAGGUUGGUUCAGGGAAAUCAUCCUUGUUGAAUUUGAUUUUGGGGGAAACGAGGCUAAUCAACGGAUCUGUGUACCGCGAUGGUUCUAUAGCAUAUGUUCCGCAGGUGCAAACAAACUGCUGUUAAGAUUUGAUGUGUUAUGUAGCACUCAUGAUCACACAGUUUGCCUGUUUUCCAGGUUGCUUGGAUUCUCUCAGGAACUGUACGUGAUAACAUUUUGUUCGGGAGAGAAUAUGAUCCAAGGAGGUCUCUUUCCUUACAUUUUGACAAGACGAUAAGAAUUUGUUUGGAUAAAUUUCAGUUGCAUCGAGUUGUUAGUUCUCAGUUUUGCAUUUUCAAAGUCCCCAUUCUUCUGGUUAAACUCAAUGUUCUUGGAGAUGAUAUUUUGUAUGCUUGUACCAUUGAAAUGCAUAUCUGAAGGUUUAUUGAGGAGUCACUAUUUAACUCAAUCUUCUUGGAUUUUGAUGGGAACAGAUACUCAGAAGUUUUGCGAGCUUGUUCCUUGGACUUUGAUAUUUCCAGAAUGAUGGGAGGUGAUAUGGCCUUUGUUGGAGAAAAAGGAUUUAACUUAUCUGGUGGACAGAGAGCUCGUCUUGCACUUGCCAGGUGACGUGAUUCUCUCUCUACAAAUUGCCAAGGUACUUGUCUAGUGACUGAGUACUGAAUUCUUUGAUCUUCUGACAAGUUUUUCUGUAUCUGAUAGAGCUGUUUAUCAUGAUGCGGAAAUAUACCUUCUUGAUGAUAUUGUCAGUGCAGUUGAUGCACAUGUUGGUAGUUCAAUUCUACAGAAUGCAAUUCUUGGUCCUCCAAUGAAUCAGCAGACACGAAUCCUUUGCACACAUAACAUUCAGGUUUCCAUUGAUCGACUUCCCUUUUCUGCUCGAUCUAAUAGGAGCUUUUUGAGAUUUCUAAACAUCUUGUUGAACUCAUUUAUAAUUUGUUUAUUCUCUAACAAGAAAUGCUGAAAUGCCAGUUCACGUCAAAGAUUACAAGGGAAAUAAUUAGAAAAAUAUCCAUAGGAACUUCUUUUAAGUAAUGCGUGAAGGCAGUUUUGACAUGAUCAGUACGGAGAUAGCCAUUGUUUUUUCACAGCUCAUUGUAUUUGCAAGUACGAACCACCUUUCCUUAAGAAAAGUAUAGUUGGCAUUAAUCAUUGAGAUGGAUAAUGCACGUGAAUGUAUCAUUGUCAUGCAAGGAGUUUUGUGUAUCUAUCUCUAGUGCACAUAGUUUUUUCCUAUAUUCAGAUGAUACUGAUCAGAGUUACAGAACAAUUUUUUCUUACUUCGCAUUUUAGUCAAGUAUGUAUAGUAAUAAUUAGAUCCUGUAUUAAAUGAAAAUGGCUCAUUUUAACAAGGAUCUUAACUCAAGUGUAAGAUCUGAUUAAAAUUUACUUCAAUUGAUCCCUGUGCAUUUCUGGAAAAUCUGUAUGCAAGUUAAUUUGUCUUUUCUUUCUAAUGACAUGAAGUUCAACUAUCAGUGUGUACGUCACAAGGUGUGUGAUGUUGAUUCACGCACCAAAUUAUGUUGAUGAAGCAAUUUACUAUUUGUUAUAUUGGAUUUUUUUUUCAGAAAGAACGGGAAAAUGCACUUAUAUUCACGAAGAUGCAGUAAUAUUAGGCACAGCUAACAUCUUUGUUAAUAAUUGACUAGAUGUUGGCAAUACCGAGGAACAUUCAUUUAAGAUAUUUUAAGUAGUGUUUGUCUUAAAUGUACUAAUAUAGUCUUUUACUUUACAGGCAAUAUCUGCUGCAGACUUGGUGAUUGUGAUGGAUAAAGGACAUGUGCAGUGGGUGGGAAAUCCAAUUGAUUUUACUUUUCCCUCUGAUGUAGCAUUCUCAACAAUCGAUGAAGUUAGUAGUUGUUCUGAAGUUCAACAGCAGGAUAAAAGAUCAAAUAUUUCAAGUGAGAUCCAGCAGAGAACUUCAGAGGCUGAUGUUAUAUGUACUCCUGAUGAAAAUCAAGGGACUGAUGAAUCAGAGGCUCGGAAAGAAGGAAAAGUUGAAGCCAUUGUAUACAAGUGAGUUGUCGUUUUCUUUUAACAUUAGAUAAUUCUACAACACCAAAUACACUUCAUUGUCUAGCUAGUUGUAGUUGUGCCCGUGUCGAAUCCUCCAAAAAUGCACUACUUUUGGAGUAAUCCUAAAAAAACGCGGAGGUACUUUGAAGAGUCUGGGCAGCAUAUGUUUUAUUAGACUUUUUGUGGUAAGAUCCUGCCUGUGAUGAAUUCAGUUUGAUGAUUUUGUCAUUUUAUGUCUUGCAGGAGCUAUGCUGUUUUUGCUGGUUGGUUCAUCACAAUUUUAACAUGCCUCUCUGCGGUUUUGAUGCAAGCUUCUCGUAAUGGAAAUGACAUGUGGCUCUCAUAUUGGGUUGAUACAAGUGGAAGAAACCAGAAACCAUAUUCAACAACUUUUUACCUGGUAACUAGCCAACUACUAAAAUUGUGUAGACCCUCACCAAGUCAGUUUGUUUCCCCAGCUUUAUUAUCCUUUAUUGGAAAGUUCAAUUAUAGUUGUAAGACUUCCCUGAAAAUGGAAGAAUAUUGAAGAGCGCUGUCUUUGCGUGAUAUAUCGUCUUCUUCUAUGCAUCUCCUAUUAUCAACCGAAGAGAAGAUCUCAUUUCAGAUUCCAAGGCAUGGUGAUUUCUUAGAAAAUUCUAUUGAUGUCGCAGGCUAUACUCUCUCUCUUCUGUCUGGCAAAUUCCUUGCUAACUUUAGUUAGGGCAUUUGCAUUUGCAUUUGGUGGGCUGCGUGCCGCUGUUAAGGUGCAUGAUCGAUUAUUAGAGAAGCUUAUGAGUGCGCCCAUUAGCUUCUUUGAUUUGAACCCAACUGGAAGAAUUAUAAACAGGUAUAUCUGAUCAACCAAGAAAUUAAUUGCUCUUUCUUUUGACAUUAUGUAAUAUAUACUGACUGGAGUAUGCAGACUGUCCUCAGAUCUGUACACUAUUGACGAUUCUCUUCCCUUUAUCCUCAACAUUCUGCUGGCUAAUUUUGUUGGCCUCUUGGGGAUUGCAGUAGUACUGUCAUACGUGCAGGUUAGCUAGUUCCUUGUUUUAGAACCUUCCAGGGUUCCUUUUUCUAGGUUAUCUAGUACAGCAGCCCACUUUUUGCUUGAUAGAAUUUCUGCUUAUAAUAGGUUAUGCAUGUAUGCAGGUCAUGUUUUUGUUUCUGUUAAUGCCUUUCUGGUACAUCUACAGAAAACUACAGGUAAGUUGCAAAAUUUCUAUACAUCUCACUGAUUAUCAGCGACACUCCCACAUAGUGCACAUGCAGCGUAGCACAUAAUAUCUGGGAAAUUUUGAUAUAUUUAUUCAUUUUAGCUUAGUGAAACUUGGGUAUCUAGGGAUUUGUUUUUGUAAGAUAUAAAGCUUGUCGAAUAUGGGGUAUUUAUAGAUAGAAAUUUUUCAGUAACCUAUUCAUGCUGCUUAAAACAUGAACAUUAUAAAACAACCAAAAUUUCUAUUUGCAACUCCUCCUGUUUCUCUUUUCAUGUUACAGCACAAUCUGAGAAGUCAUGCUCUUGAUCCACAUUGCUAGAAUAUCAAUUAAGGUUUUAAUUAAAUGAGCUUUUUCUUGAAGUCUGUAUAAAAUAUUUUGAUGCGGAAUGCAAAACUUGGCCACUGUAAUAGGUAGUUUCGCUUUCGAUACUUUGAUUUGACAGAAUAACUGAAUAUAAGAUCUUCAGCUGUAUUACAGGUCAACAUCACGUGAGUUACGUAGAUUAGACAGUGUAUCUCGAUCACCUAUAUAUGCAUCUUUUACAGAGACUCUGGAUGGAUCAUCAACAAUAAGAGGCUUUAAGAGCGAGGUAAUUAUAUCCUGUUGUUUAAAUUAGACUUCCCUCUCCUAGGAGCAUCUCUGUCUUUUCUUUCCGGAGGAUAUAAUUUUUUAUUCCUGCUUAACAAGAGCUUGUUCUUGUGCUUAUCCAUAUGUGCCUAUUGAAAGAACUUUUGACUGCUUCACCUUGUGCGAUCAAUCACAUCUUUGAUCGAAAGGAGGAACUACUUUAAGAAGUUUCUGCUGACUAAAAUCUCCCUACCAAAUUUUAGUCCAAAAAUUAUGCUUUUCUGCUCUUACCAAGGAUUUCUGAAAGUUUUAACAUGAUACAAUGACAAACUUUUUGAUAUCUUGGUAGGAGAGUGAGAACACACGUUAUCUUUCUUUUGAAAAAAUGCAUCUGUUUGACAGGACAUGGUCACAAGUCAAUUUUCUUUCUUUUGUUAGUUUUUCAUUUAUCCUGUCCUUCGAUAAUGCAUAUUUAUAAAGAUAUCAGGGGUUGAACAUCCCCAUAUUGAGGAACGUAAGGUUGCAGUGAACUGAAAAUGCAGUAGUUUAGUAAUUUCCCUUGUACAUCACACGAUGAGGGAAUGAAGUUUUUCCCUACAUUCUGCCCUCUAUAAACAGCAUCAUAAAGAGCUCCUUCUGGCCUCUUCUUAUUGUGAUCCUAUUUGUGGAAAUUAUCAUUCUGAAUGCUCUGUAUUCCAACUUCUCCAAGGGGAAUUCGUUGUCCAACCACCUGUUUCUCCAUUCUGAAAUUCAAACAAACUCUACUAUUGGGCAGGAUCUUUUUCUACUCAAAUUUAAUAAGCAUCUGAUGACAUAUCAGAGGACUUCGUAUUCAGAAGUAAUAGCAAGUUUGUGGCUCUCCCUGCGCCUUCAGGUAUGUCUUACACUCUCAGUAUCACUUUAGGGGAACUACUACUGAUUUCUGUGUCACCAUUUUCUUAAGUUUGACAAUUGUGAUAUGUGACCUUUUGUGGGUACGCAUUUCUCAUUUGUGUAUGUAAUAACAUAAUACUCAAAAAUUGAUGUUAUCGUGAUACUAAACGCUAUCGUUGAUACUGAAAAUUUAUUUUUUCAGUUGCUUGCAGCAUUUAUCGUCUCAUUCAUUGCGGUGAUGGCAGUUAUCGGUUCUCAUGAAUACCUCCCCAUCAAUUUAGGUACUCCAGGGUUGGUAAGUUCUUAAGUGAUUCUUUUGCUCUUGACCCUUUACUGCAAAGCAAUCAUAAUCUUCUCUGAAUUUGAUUUACCGGUUCUUAAUGAACAGGUUGGUUUGGCUCUCUCAUAUGCGGCUCCAAUUGUAUCUUUACUUGGAAGCUUCUUAACAAGUUUCACAGAAACAGAGAAAGAGAUGGUUUCUGUUGAGAGGAUACUACAGGUGACUAAAUUUAUAUACAUUCAUAAAAGCUUUAUCACACAAAUUGAGAUCUCCUUCUUACUCCACAUUCUAUAGUAUAUGGAUGUCCCUCAUGAAGAAGAUGUUGGAGGUUAUCCAUUACAUCCACAAUGGCCACAUCAAGGAGAGAUCAAUUUUGUCAAUGUGACUCUUAAGUACAAGCCACAACUCCCUCCUGCCUUGUGUGGUGUUUCCUUCACCAUUGCUGGGGGAACACAGGUCUGUUUGUCUUACAUGAUAUUCUACCUUACUUGAGAAUUUGAAUUAUGACAUAUGCAAAAUCAUUUGAAUUAUGACACAUGCAAAAUCACGCGUCUAUAAGAUGGCAUAAAACUAUCCCAAGAGAUGAUGGUUGGAAUUAAUUAAGUGUUACUUCUCUGUGUUACAAAAAGACGGUUGUUACUUGUAUAUCAAGUCAUCAAGCUAAUUGUAUGAUUCCUUGUAUUCAUUGGAAUUAAAAUGAAAGUAGUUUCACUGGAACUGUAGACAGCAACCUUUUAUGAUGAUAAAGCAAAUUCACUAACACUGUUUGGUGUUCCAUUAUCCGGAUUCUCAUGUUAUUAAUGGUAAGUGAUACUUAUAUUAGCUUUAAAAAAACGUAAUAGUUAACAGAAGUGUUGUUUUAAUUUGCUUUAUCCAACCCUUAAAUGUUGUGAUGAAUAUUCAAAGAAACUUUAACUUUUGCAAUUUGUUAAGUUUAUUAUACUGCUUUUUGGAUCUCUUGGAGAGUUUUCUGGCACUAGGGCAAUGCCAUGAAUCUCAUCUUUGAAGAUAUCAAGAUGAUCAAAUGUGUCAAAAGCUAUAUGUCAAGCAUGGGUAGGAGGGAUGGGAUUCAAGUGAUGUGAUAUUUUGUAUUGCUUUUCUUUAAGUGUUACCCAGACCCCAAUUGUGGGAUUGCACUGGGUAUAUUGUUGUUUCUUGAAAUGUUAGCUCCUCCAGACUCCAGUGACGUUGACAUUAAAGGUUGCCCUGUUACCUUAUCAGGUUGGUAUAAUUGGAAGAACAGGUGCAGGAAAAUCAAGUAUUUUGAAUGCCCUGUUUCGGCUCUACCCAACAUGCGGAGGAUCUAUCAUGGUUGAUGGAGUAAACAUUGCUGGUGUUUCUGUCAGAUAUCUUCGUUCGAGCUUUGCUGUUGUUCCCCAGGCUCCUUUCUUGUUUGAAGGAUCAAUAAGGUAAUUGACAUAGAGAGACAUUUGUUGUGACUUCUUCAGUCAUAAUGUCUUAGAACAUUCCCUUCCUUUUAACCUUGUGUAACAUCAGUACUGGCCAAAGCAUAUGAUUAUAUUAAUGAUGAUUGGUUGGCAAUAUGGCUUCCCUUACAUGUCUGCAUAAUAAACAUCUCAGGAAAAAUUUAGAUCCAUUGCAAGAGAACAUGGAUUUUGAGAUCUGGAAUGUCCUAGAAAAAUGCCACAUCAAGGUGGAGGUAGAAGCAGCAGGUGGACUGGAUGUUCAACUGAAAGGGUCUGGAACAGCAUUUUCUGUUGGUCAAAAGCAGCUACUCUGCCUAGCACGUGCUCUCCUCAAGUCCUGCAAGGUUGUAUAAUGAGUAAAUCGAGUUACUACGGAGGUGUGUACAUGGAAUGGAGGAGAGCAUACUGACAGGUUUACACUUUUCUGCAGGUGCUUUGCUUGGAUGAAUGCACGGCAAAUGUGGACACUGAAACAACUUCAAAACUACAGAAAACUCUAGCCACCGAAUGCCAUGGAACAACGGUUAUCACAAUUGCCCAUCGCAUUUCAACAGUUAUGAGUAUGGACAAUAUCCUGAUUUUGGAUCGAGGGUUCCUGGUAAACGUACUUUCUUGACAAGCUUCCCUUCGUUUAAACUGUCUAGACAUAAGAAUUGAAUCAUAAGAAUAUAACAAAAGUAGCUGGUUGCUUUGACAUUUUUUAAGUCUCUUCGGGCUAAUUAUUUACUAUUAUACUUAUCUGGAAAGUAGGGGUCAAACAUUAUUCCUUAAAACAAAGAUUGUUGUUUUAAUGUUCGGAACUUGGUUUAAGGCCCUACUGAUAUGAACAACCAAACAAGUCUUGGCACUCAAUCUAGUGAUCAUCCUACUGGUGAACAUUCUACAAUAUUCUUCGAUUAUUAGAUUGAUGCAUGUUAUAUAAGAGGAACGAAGCAGAAAAAGAAAGAUCAUCCCAAUUGUGAUUGUUCUAGUUCCUCAUUUUACUUUUUUUUUUUUUUUUUUUGCUUUACAGGUUGAACAGGGUAAUCCGCGGAUUCUUCUAGAAGAUCAGUCAUCCAUAUUUUUCAGCUUUGCCAAAGCUUCAAGAAUGUGAUGUAAAUCUUCUUGAGUUGUUUAAAAAGUAGUAUUGGCAACUGGAAGGAUCUGUAUAGUAGAUAGAGCUAGCUUUUCAGAAGCACUCAAAUCUUGUUUUACUUGUAAUUCUAGUAGUUGCUACUUGCUAACUUAUUAAGGUCCUGAACUGAUUUUCAAGUGUGAAGUUGGUGGUGUACGUUAAAUCCAGCAUCUUAACUCGAAAUGCAGCCUGAGUUAAUUUAAUAGAAAUUAUAACUUUUUCCUACGAAGUAACUGAACUAUUUUUUUGUUACUAUUAAAGUCAUUGCAUAUAAUCUCUUUAAAAAUAACUUUGGCAGGAAAUCAAAUCAAUCUCACCAGUGCCACUAUGAAGUUUUUUUUUUUCACAUUUGGUAAAAGUUCAUUUAAACUACGCAGUUGCUUCAUGUGUUCCCAUUGUAGAUUCACAAAUGAAUUCACCAUAAUAAUUUGAAAGGAAAAAGGAAAAAUAACUUUUACUGUUAAAAUAAAGUUACUUUUACUCGUACCGUUAUUAAUCUCGUUGUUUUGUGUCCUUUCAAUUGGAUGAAAAUUCCCAAAUCUACUAAAAUUGUUUAAUUUUCCUUAAAUUAUCUAAUUUUAACUCGAUCUGAUUCACUUAAUUAUAGAAUUCAUUUCCAAAUUGUCAACGCAUUUCUCUUAAUACUAAUAUUUGAUACUCUUUAUUUUUUCACAUUUGGUAAAAGUUCAUUUAAACUACACAGUUGCUUCGUAUGUUCCCAUAUCUAUAUAGCCUCAUUACAGUGAGUUUUCCUUGUAUUGUAACUUACCAAAACUGUGGCCAAUACUUAAUAGAUAGUUAUAUUAAAUAAGAAUUAUCUUUAUAUGAUUUUAAACGAAAUCAUAAAGAAUGUAGAUUCAGAAAUGAAUUCACCAUGAUAAUUUAAAGGAAAAAGGAUAUUUUGACCCCUUCAUUUUAUUUGAUUGACUAUGCUUUUACUGUUAAAAUAAAGCUCGUAUUGUUAUUAAUUUCGUUGUUUAUGUCCUUCAAUUGGAUGUAUAUUCCAAAAUCUACUAGAAUUAUUCAAUUUUUCUUAAAUUAUCCAAUUUUUACUCGAUCUGAUUCACUUAAUUAUAUAAUUCAUUUCUAAGUUGUCAAUGCAUUUCUCUUAAUUAGAUACUCUUUAUGUCUCCUUUUUUUUUUAAAUCAACAAUAUAACGAACCACUACUAAUUAACAAACACGAAAAAUUAUUAAACUUUAUAUUUUGGUGGUGUUUCAUGAUUGGUUUGUCACUCACUGUUUAGAGAAGGGUAAAGCAUAAAGCAAAAGGCAAAAUGGUUGCUCGUGCAAUUUUCGGUGAAUAUGACUAGACGAUUGAUUUUACACCAGCCCAUAAAGUUAGCUAAAUAUUAAAAAAUUUAAAACUAAAAAAAAAAUAGCAACAAGAAAUAAAACAAUAUAUAGAAGUCUAUUGCUGGUGAAAAUGGCCCCAUCCCAUUUUUAUCAAUAAUUUCUAUCGCUAAAUAGCUUCCAGCUAAUUGAAUUUUCAUAUACGUAGACGCAUAAAUUUAUUUUUGAAAAAGGAAGCAAAAUGACACAUCUUACUCAAGGGUGGUGUGUUGGAUUUUGCCAUUUUGCCUACAUCUACAAUCUUACAUGUUUGUCUUCAUCAAUUGAAGUAAUAGAGCCAAAUAACACAUGGCCACUACCUAUCAUAACCUAAUUUUUUUUCAUUUGCACAAACAAAACAUAAUGUAAAUGGCUUAAUUUUAUUAACCAAGUAGUAAUAUUGUACUAAGAGUGUGAUUAAUCAAGUCAAUCAAUAAAUUAAUAGUAUAGUAAAGUUGCUUUGCUUAAAAAGCAAUAUAAAGUUAGAUAGAGACUUCCACAAUUGCAUAGACAAAAUAAGGAGACAAAGCAUUUGUUUGGCUUUUUGGAUAUCCAAUUAUGACCCAUCAUCUUUUUCUUUUUUAUUCUUUUUUCAACCUCAAAAAUUAUAGUUUUGUUUCUUUUUUACUUUUACUUUUUAUGUUUUCACUACAAUAUUCUUGAAUCAUGGAUCCAAUGUUCAUUUUUUUAGCUCAUGUGUAUAUAUUAUUUAGGAAUCAGUUUGACAGUUUUCUUUUGAAAAUACUCAUUUUUAUCGAUCUUAACGAGGUAAAGCUAAGGUCUUUGUAUAUUCUAUCAUGGCUAGAUUUUACUUGUGAGAAUUCACGAGAUAUGUUACUCUUUACGUUCUUUUUUAGAUUUUAAUGUUGCGUUUUUUCAAGAGACAAUAUGACUAAUUCUUAAAACUGUAUUAGAUUAGACUUAUUUGAUAUUUUAGAAAUAAAAACUUAGAUCGUCAAAUUUUUCAUGUCAAUAUAACGAAAAAUAUAUCUUAAAAUGUUAAUCAAAAUUUAUAUCAACUUCUCUCCUAUAAAUCUUUUUUGCACAAGCUUUUGACUUUUAAAAAAAAUCGUGACAACUAAAAAAAUAGAUUAAAAAAAUAUUGCAUUUUUCUUAGUUUCUUUAAGACAAAAUAUAUCGACAUAUCUUAGACUUUUCAAUCUAAUAUAUUUUAUGCGUUUAAACAUGAAUCGUGAUAUAUAUAUAUAUAUAUAUAUAUAUAUAUAUAUAUAUAUAUAUAUUAAAGUUGUGCUUGUACUAAAUGAUAGAAAGUGUUUGAUCCUCAUCAAGAUAAAAUCAUAAAGAUAUGCGAAGAAAAUUCUUUGGUUUAAAAGUUAAUAGUUGUAUAAACAAGAAAGAACCUUUUAUAUCUUCUUUUUUUUUGUAUUAAAUAAUUCUAUCCAAAGGAAAUGAAAGUUGAAAUAAUAUCACUUAUUAAUUGUUCUUUUGAAAAUGUUGAAAAGGUGUUUUUGCUACAUUAUAUUAUUACAAUCUUAUAAUAAGGCAUGCACAGGCUGUUUUUUCCGUUCUUGUCUCAAUCUACUUAAGUCGUCGUUUUACUUUAUUAGUGGGAAAGCACCUUAUAAUAAACAAUAUAACAUCUAUAGAGACAUAUUUCUUGUCAAAAUUUUAUCUUUUCUAAAAGUUAGAUUUAUGUGUUACUUCAAAAAACUCUACCUUUAAAGCCCUAACUUUUGUAAUUACUACUACCUCCGUUCCAUAUUACGAGUCACCUUUUAUGCUUUUAGAGUCAAAUAGUUUAAAUUUGAUAAAAAAUUUACGCAUGGAAUUUUCAAUUUUUUUAAAAAUGAAAUUUAUAUAUUUGCAAACUACGUAAAAGGUACUAUGAGUCACAAUAAUUGAUAAUUCAAAAUGUUUAAAAAAUCUAUGAAAAUUUUACGGUAAAAAAUAGACUUGUUUUUGACUCUUGAAAUUCAAAAAAUGAUAUAUAAAAUGGAACGGAGGGAGUAUUUCUUUAGUACUCCUAAUUCUCUUUGAAUUGAUAUAAUCAAGUUUUGAGUUAAAAUGUGAAUUUCCAAUAGACAUUAUAUGUACAUUAAAAAUAUGAUAUUCUUUUUGAAAAUUUAUCAAAAACAAUUCUGAUCACAUGUCAAUUUUUUUUAAAGUGUUUACUUAGAGGAAGUAAUGUCUUGACGCAAGCGAGAAAAACAUUAUUAAAUCAUCUAAAUCAUAAUUGGUUAUAGUGAAUGAGAUUAUUAUUAAAGUCAAACAAUGAGGUGAUUGUGUUAAUACAUUAAAUGUUAUUUUAGUUGUGACCUAAGUAUUCAAAAAUUCAUAUUUUGUGAAUAUGCAUGUAAAUUAACACAAGCAGUUUUGCGUGAAAAACUCAUUGCUUAAUAUAUAGGUCUUUACCACAUGACACAAGACCUUAUUUGAAACUACAAAAACCUAAAUAUUAGUACAACUCAAGGAUAGGAUAAGAUAUAUCUUGAUAGAAACAAGUUCUUUUGAUGCUAUAGUAGUUGCUCAAACUAAAAUAUGUUAGAUAUUCAAAAGUUCUUUCACUUUUUAUUUUUAUCAUAGUGUUGUGACUAGCUUUCGCAUAUUUCGAUUAAUUUUAUGAGGUAUUUGUCUCCUCCUACUAGUAAAAGAUAUCACGUUAUUUUAUCUAUCAAGACUAAGAGCCUGUUUGGAUUUGCUUAAAAAAGAUAAUUUUUAAAAUCAAAAAUAAAAGUAGAUUCUUGACUUCUUUGUCAAAACUAACUUAAAAAUAAAUUUGAUCAACUUUUAAACGAAACUAAACACCUUCUAAGCAAGAUGAUCUCCGCUGAGAACCAAAAAAUGAAAUCCCAUUAAAUAAUCAAACUAGGUCUCUCCAAAAUCCAGAUGGCAAGUAGGACACAUUUUCCAGUAAACCAAAAUAAACAAAACCUGCACUCAGAGCACUAAACUCCAACACACCACAAUCACUUUUUUUUCCCCAUUGAUACUGCAAAUUCUUCUUUGUUUUAGUCAAAAGCAAAUUCUGGCUUUCUGACCCCACCCCCACAACCCCAACUCCCCACUGUUUCAGUAUUUAACCAGGGAAAAAGACUUUCACUAAUUCCCUUCUGCAAUUUUAAUCAUUAUCAUCCCCCUCAAACUUCAAACUCUAACUUACAUCAUUAAAAUAGUACUAGUACAACAUAACAAAAACUCAAAACUCUUUAUUUCUACUACGACUAUACUAUACUAUUCCAUCAAGUUACCAUUUAAGACAUUAUACUACAAAUCCUCAAAUGGUUAUCCAAUUGUAAAGCAAAAUCCUUCACUUCCUCCCCCUUUCAAGAACUUGACAAAAAACUCUUUAAAUCCUCAAAAGUUCUCAACUUUCUUGAAAUUUCUCUGCCCCAAGUGAGUUAAGAAUCUUAAAUUUGUGAUAGCAAUGACUUCAAGACAGCCAAUUCCUUCAAAUCCAAAACCCAUGUCAGGCAUAAUUUUUCUCAUCAUUACAGUCUCAGCUUCACUUAUAAUCUUGUUUGCCAUUCUUUAUUUUCUUUACUAUCUUUGGUAUUCAUUGGUGCAUCGUUCUCGUACUAAUCCUUAUGAUUCCAUUACACCCCUUGUUAAGCUUCACAGGUUUAGUUACAAAGAGUUGAAGUCAGCAACUGAAGGUUUUAGUGAUUCCACUUCAAUAGGAAAAGGGGGAUCUGGAACUGUAUACAAAGGGAUUCUUAGAGAUGGGAAAUUGGUUGCUGUUAAGUUAUUGGACUCUGGUUCAUUUCAGAGUGAAAGGGAGUUUCAGAAUGAGCUUCAGAUUCUUGGUGGGAUAAAAUCUCCUCUUGUAGUUUCUCUUCUUGGUUAUUGUGUUGAGAGAAAUAAAAGACUUGUUGUGUAUGAGUAUAUGCCUAAUAGAAGUUUACAAGAAUCCCUUUUUUCUGAGUCAAGUUUGUGUAUGAAUUGGGGUAGAAGGUUUGAUGCCAUUCUUGAUGUUGCUAGAGCAUUGGCAUUUUUGCAUCUUGAUUGUGACCCACCAGUGAUUCAUGGGGAUGUUAAGCCUAGCAAUGUGCUUCUUGAUUCAGAGUACAAAGCUAAGCUUUCUGAUUUUGGGUUGUCCAGAUUGAAACUUGAUGAGGAAUUUGGGGUUGAUAUGUUUAGUCAAGAACUGGGGAAGAGUCAAGACCUUUCUGGGACUUUAGGGGGGAUGACUACAGGCACUGAGACUCCAACACCAAUUGGGACACCUAUGGAGAGUCAAGAUGAGGUAGAUUUUGCUAUGGCUUUACAAGCUUCUUCUUCUUCCAAAGGCAGUAAAAUUUUCCAAAAUAUUAGACCUUUUGGCUUUACUUCUGUUACUCAAAAUUUGAGUUUUUUUACUGAGAAUGAUGCCACAACUAGGAAUGCCAAGGGAAAGGAAGUGUCAAUUGUUGAAAAUGGUGUAGCAAGUUAUAAUGAGGAGCUUAGUAGUGUUGAUCAUAGGAAAGAGUUGGAUUUGGGUGGUGGAGAUGAUAAAGCAAGAAAUAUCAAACAAUGGGGUAAAGAUUGGUGGUGGAAACAGGAUGGUAGUGGUGAACUAUGUAGCAAAGAUUAUGUAAAGGAGUGGAUUGGUAGCCAGAUAUGUCCAUCAACUAAUCCUGAGUGGGACUUAGAAAAGAAAUGUUCACCCCAGAAAACCAGUUUAGAUAUUUCAGCACCACUGAGUAAACCUGAGGAAGUGCAAGAAACCACAUUACAAGGACAAGAGCCAGAAACUCUCAAGAAAGAGUCCGAUAAGGAGAUAACGGAGAAAACGUGUAAUAAGAAGCCUAGAAAGAUGAAAGAGUGGUGGAAAGAGGAGCAUCUUGAUGAACUAAGCAAGAAGAGUAAGAAGGCUAAGAGACUAGAAAGUUUCUGUAAGAAGCGGUUCAAGAUUCCACCUUUUGAUAUUGGUAAACGCUUUCAAUUCAAGAGAAAGAGGAAAUUCGGAAUGCAGGAUGAGAAUGGAGAUGAUCCAGAUGCAGAAUUCAGUUUUAGGAAAGGUUGGAAGAGAAAGCAUACGCGUUCAAUGGGGAGUGAUAUGUGGAGCGGUGAUCUAUUCAGUCGAGAAUUGAGCAGCACGACAAGCAUGAGAGGUACAUUGUGCUAUGUUGCACCAGAAUAUGGAGGGUGUGGUUACUUAAUGGAAAAAGCUGAUAUAUACAGCUUUGGAGUUCUUGUCCUUGUGAUAGUCUCUGGUAGGAGGCCAUUACAUGUCCUUAAUUCGCCAAUGAAACUCGAGAAAGCAAAUCUGGUAAGCUGGUGUAAACAGCUAGCUCAUGCUGGAAAUGUGUUAGAACUUGUUGAUGAAAGACUUAAAGAUGACUACAACAAAGAACAAGCAAGUCUCUGCAUUAACUUAGCACUUGCUUGCUUACAAAAAAUGCCCGAAUUACGACCUGACAUUAGUGACAUUGUUAAGAUUUUGAAAGGUGAGAUGGAGUUACCAUCCCUCCCUUUCGAAUUCUCUCCCUCUCCACCUUCGAGAACGUUCAGCAGAUCAAAAAGACGACAUAAGAGUUACGCAGAAUAGGAAUUACUUGUCCAUGUUGAGAAAUUUUCUCCGAAUGUAUUUGUAGAAUCACUUGUUUUUUCAAUGUAAAUAUGAUGAAUGUAUUAAAUUUUAUCUUAUUUGAUGAUUAUAACUGCAGUCAACAUUUUUCCAACAUAACAUAACUGCUAAAAUUUCAAAUUCCUUUUAGUAGAAAACAUCUCAUUUUGUAAAUGGAGGGAAAACAAAAGACAUUAUUAUUAGCUUCUACUUUGAUAUAUAAUUUAAAUAAAUAUCACUUUUUCAUGAUAACAGUUUGGUCCACACUUCAUAAAAAUCUCACCUAUUUAAGGCAUUUCUUCAAUUACUUCCUGUUUGGUGGACAAUUUUGUUUUGCCUGUACCAGACAGGACCACUAAUACAUGUCUUCGAAAAUGAUCGGAUGUACGUAGAUUUUAUUUCUAUUUUUAUGUGAAGUUACAGAGAAAUUGUUUUUGAUAGACUCGAAAUUAGCAAGAUGCACAAAACAAAUAAAAACGUGUGAGGAUUGUGAAUGGAGGAAAGAUUAUAGAUUCUUAAAAUCGAAAGAAAUCAAAUUUAUAUAUAUUAUCAAUUGUACAAAUUAUUAUUUAAUUUAUUAGACUUUAUAUAGGGUGAUGUGAGUAAUAUUCGCUAGAUAUAUUUUUUAUUAUUGAUAGUGAAAUUUUAAUGUUGACUAUUACAUGUUGGAAAAAGAAUGUCAAAUGACAUCUUAAGUAUAUCAUUGUGUAUUAGCUUAAAUAAAACAAUGAUUAGGACGUUUUAAACAAAUCUAAUUAAUUAGUUAGUUAAAAUCCUUUUUAGCAGAUCUGUUUUAGUGAUAUUGGUAUGCACAUUGCAUUUUCAUUAUUUACUCCUAAAUUUAAUUUUGGAAUAGUUUGGUAGAAGCAAUAGUUGGUAGAUGGACUUCUAAAUUUUGUCUUGGUCAAAAGAUUUUUCUUGAGAUUCUAUUACUGUAGCAUAUUUAAUUGUUUUAUCUCCAACAUGUUUUUUUGAUAAAUUGAUUAAUUAUAUUACUUAAUCCUUUCUUGAUAUUUCUUUAAUCUACUUAAUCUCAUAGUAUAGGAUUUUCAAGUUAGCCGCCCGAGAAUUAAGUUCUUCGAGGUUGAAAUUAGUGACAAAGUCGAAAUUUUUAUUAAAGGAUUCAAAAUAUGAAGAAGUAAAUAGAUAAAGAGUCUAAUAGAUUCAAAAUCUACUAUUUUUUCAUAAAAAAUAAUUUUAAUCAGAUUUAAAUGAUAUAAUUUUUUAUUAAAAUAAUUCAAAACUAAUUCCGCCCCUCGAUUGAAAAAGUACUGGUCAUUUUCUCUUAAGUUUCUAGAAUUUCAAUAGAAAAAAAUAAGUAUGGGGCUUGAAACUCGUUCAAUGUAGGGUAGCUAUCACAUUAAUGGUGUAUAUUCGAAAGAUGUGUAAAUGAAAAAUUAAUGUUGUUAACUAAUUUUAUAUUGCAUAAAAUUUGAAACGUAUAAAAAUAUGUAAUUUCAAAUAGUCAAAAAUAAUCUCAUAAUCUUUAAUACAAAUUUUUAUUCAAAUUUUUACGAUCAAGAACACUUAUGCUUAAUUUUAAACGGAGGGCAAAAUUUUCCAUUUCAAAUAGUUCAAUACAAUAUUGGUUAUUUUUUCAUUUUUUUGAAAAAUAAUUAGUAAAAAAAAAAAGAGAGGAUAUUUUAGAGUCAAAACAUGGCAAAAAAUAAAAUUAUCAUAUUUCGAAUAGUUUGAAAUAUAUUUUGAUCAUUUUGUGCAAAAAGAAUGCAAAUUGCUCUUCGCAUAUCUGAAUUUUGAAAUUGAAAAAAUCGGUUGUAUCUGGUCUCAAAGGAAUAAGAUUUUAGGCCCACUUAUAUGGGCCUCGACUAGAAUCAUCGGUAUCAUCUAUUAUAAUUAUGAAAAAAUUGUAUAUAAUAUCAAAUUAUUAAUUCAAAUUAAAUAUUAUAAUCAUAGUUUGAUUUAAUUAUACCUCAUAUUAAACUGUUGUUAUUUCGCCUCUCUCUUGGUGAAUCUCACUUGCCACUCUAGUUCUCUUCCUCGCCUCUCUCGCUUUUAUACAAAUGCAAAUGUAUAAAAUGUGUGUGUGUUUGUAUAAAGCAAGAGAAAAUUGUAUAUAUACAUAUAUUUUCUUUUUCCUCUCCCAGAUAUCGCCCGUCACUCUCCCAAAUCUCGCUCCCUCACUGGCCUCUCUCACUUUAUACAAAAACACAAAUGUAUAAAAUGUGUUUGUGUUUGUAUAAAGCAAGAGAAAAUUGUAUAUAUACGUAUAAUUUCGUUCCCCCCUCCCAGAUCUCGCUCAUUCACUCGCCUCUCUCGCUUUAUACAAACACAAAUGUAUAUAAUGUGUUUGUGUUUGUAUAAAGCGAAAGAAAAUUGCAUAUACAAAUACAAAUAUUUUCGUAUAUACACUUGUGAUUAUACAAAUAUGAUCUUUCCUUGACCAGUUUUCUUUUAUCUUUUUCGCUUUAUACAAACAUAGAUUAUACAACUGAUCUUUUGUAUAUGUAUAUUAAAGCAGAUUAUACAACUGUUUUUUUUUAUAUGUAUCGCAAAAUAUACAUAUUUAUGUUUAUUGUAGAGCUCAAUUAUGAAAACUAUAGCCAUAGAAUACAAAUAUAAUUUUAUGUUAGCUAUAUGUAAAAAUUGCUCGAUUACUGUUGAAACCUCAAAGUUCAUUGACUAUGGGUCUGAUUUUUUUUAUCUUUUAUCACAUAUAAUCUUCUUCUUCAUUUAUUCUAUCCCCAAUUUGGAUUCAUACUUCUAUUUUAUUUUUUGAAAAAGGAUCUGUUGUUCUAUUUGUAGGGUUAAGAAAAAAGAAUUGACAUAAUUAAAAAUAAUCAAAAUGGCAGCAGAUACACACUUGAUACUUUAUGGUUGUGGUAGUUUCAGAAUCCAAUGGAGCUAACAAUCUCAAACAGAAAGGCUCAAAACUUGCUACAUCCAAACUGAACUGCAUAAUGUCAAUCCAAAAAAGGCGAAGCUCGUUGCCAAUAGUGACACAAAACCACGCGCCGCCGGAGCAGAAGAUUUUUUAGAGGAAUGCUCAGCGGGUACGGCUAACAUCGGAGGAGACGCAAGAGGAUGAACGAGCACCGAAACUUUCAUGCCGUUAACGCAACCGCCGGUUCCACAAAUGAAGUAAUACCUCUGGGUAUCGUUCAGCAUAAUGAAGUCCUUUCCGCUGGUCCAAUUCCCUAAUGCACCAUCUAUUGUGCAGUUAUCAUAUCCAGUCUGAUUCACUAAAAACACAUUGAACUGCGACUUCUGGUACCUAAACGCUGCGAUUAAAAUAGAGAGAAAAGUUAGAGAAAGACGCAAAAUAUGUAACACUACUUGUAAAUUGCUAGCAAUGUGAUACGUACAGAUGUAGUCACCAGUAUAAAAGGUUUGGUUGUUGGCCCAAAGGGUAUAGUUGAUGCCAGGGUUCCAGCCUUUGUUAGCUCCGACGAUGUGGUCGGUAGCGUUGACGGUAGUGGCGACGGCGGCGAGGAGAAGGAAGAAGAGAACAGAGAGAUCCAUGUCGAGAGAGAUGUUGAUAGGCUCAAGUGAUAGAGGCUCUGAGCUGGACGUGAUUGGUUGAAGAAGCAGAGACAGCUGAGAAAGUCCCUACUUUAUGACUGUACUUGGCCCAACCCCCACUAUUAUUUAUGGAUCCAAAGCAAAUAGAUGACCGUUAUCUAUACAUCCCCGCAACUGGGGUUUGGUGAGCAUAGUGCGUAGAGAGGAUAUUUUCAAUAGAUCUUUAGCUCGAGUAAAUAACGGGAAUGAAGAAAUCAUGACAAAAUACUAAAGCACGCUGAGAAAGGAACUCAGGUACAUUCUCUGCUAUUUUUAUGGGAAUAAAAUAAUAAUUGUUCAACUUGUUCUAUAAAAUUUUGAUUGUUUAUUCUAGUAUAUAUUUGAUUGUCUUACCAAACCAAAAGUAGUACUAUUAAAAAUAUUUUGUUAAAGGCUCUGGAGACCACCAAAACAUUUAGAAUCAUGUAAAAUAUAGUAAAAAUGUAAUGGCAUUUGAAUAAUGCAAGCUGGAGAGAAGGACAUUAUCACGUUUAAUGAGUAUGAUGGGACAAAAUCACUUUUAAUCACGUUGCAAGUUGCAGGGAUAGAUAAUAAUAUAUACCUACUUUCAGCAAGCUCAGUUAUUCAUCUCAUCUUUUAUCUACACCAAUAUGACCUCCUAUCUCAGAUUAUACAAAGCCCCACGAACCAACGACGUGGUCCCAGUGCUGGCAUUGGUUACUGAAACGAGAUCAAGGUUUAUGCGGGGCAUGGAUGUAGUCUCAGAUGUUGAUGAACCAUGAAGGCAACCAAAUGCCAAUAUUGACAAUGUAAUAGAUUUUGGUAAUGCAAAAGAUGGUCUUUGAACACUUCCGUGUUGGCAUCCCUACUAGGACAACUCAGGGCAGAUAUAUGAACCGUCUAGAGAUUAGUUUGGCGAAUUGGGCUUGUAAUCAGUUCUCUUUAGAAGCAACCAGGAUCAUUGCCAAACUGGCCAAGCAUGACAAAUCUUUGUAUCCAGCAUCUGUUACAGGUUUAUGUGCAACACCUGAAGGUAUCCUUCAGGCUCGGAUGAGCUACAAUCCUUUAACCAUCAUUUUAUUACCUUCUAUGUUUUUCAUUUCUGAUCACCUUGUGUGUCCCAUGUUUCACCAGUUUUCCGUUUUUAGUAUGUUUGGGAUUUGACACACCUCCUUGUCCUCUUGGGCCAGCAGGCUCUAAGAACUUUCGGAGACCUGGAUCAUCAAAUCCGUUGGAUUUCAUCUCUGCAUACAACUCUCUCGCCUUGGAAUAUAAUCUGCACUCAAGAAGUCCUCCCACCAAAAGAGAAUAAUGUGCAGACUCGGGUACUACCUCAUACUGCUUCAUCUCCAGCCAUAUCCUCAAUGCAGUUUCAGGCUGCUUCAACUUCAUAAACCUAUCAAGAAUUAACAGAAAGGUUUCCCCGUUUGGACCAACUCCAGCUUUUCUCAUAGUGUUAAGAACUUCAACAGUUCCUUCUAGACUAACACUUGCAAGAAAUGCAUGGUACGUUUCAAUAGUUGGACUAAUAUUGUCUUCCUCCAUCAGAGCUAAUAUACUUCUCGCCUCAUCCAACUUAGAUGAUUCACAUAGAGGACAUAUCAUCAAGUUGUAUGUACUAGAAUCAGGACGCAGGCCCAUAUGUUUCACUUUGUCAAUAAUCUUAAAAGCUUCCUUCACGCAAUUCUCACAAGUCAGUACAUAUACCAAAGCAUUAUACACCUCCAGCCCUGGAACCCAACCCCGUUUCUGCAUUUCAUCAUAAAGUCUUAGUGAAUCAAACAAAUUUCUAACCUUGGAGAAGCAGGAAAUCAUGUGGGAAUAUGAAGUACCAUUUGGUUCAAUACAACACUUGGACAUUUCUCGCCAUACUCUUUUGGCUUCAAAUAUAUCAACCACUAUAUUACACCAUCCAUUGAGGAUAAUAUUAAAGCCAUCAAUUUCUAAGGGGAAUAGCUUCUUAUUGAUAAGCAUGAAUUCUUCAGCUUCUUCAAUAAAACCAUGCUUACAGAGAAUAUUCAAGAAUGUCAAUAAUGUUCUCUGAUCAGGAGACAUACUGAAUUUCUCCAAAAUCUGGAAUGUAUGUAUCGCUUUACCAGCAUUAUCGGCAGCAGCAUAUCUGUUGGAAUAUCGUAAAUUACAAUGGCAAACAACAUUGCAAGCAAUUUAUCAUCUUAGUCAAACUAUACCAGAGCAUUAAGUAUGCGAACUGAAACUAUGAAACAACUUAUAGAGUAAUAUUUUUCGGUGAGACUACUGAGAUGAUUAUUCAAUGGCAUGGCUAAUAAUGAUCUUCUCAGCAAUUAUGUAGAUCAACACUCAAAAAAUUAUAGAAAAAUCAUGUUACACAGGUUACUCUGCAAUAAAAUUAAUUAGUUCAAAUUUCAAUAACUAGUAUGCGUCAAAAACAAAACAAAAAGAUUAGUUUUUUUUUUUACCUAUCAAUCAUGAUGAGGACAGCUUGUUGAAUAUCUGUUGACAUCUGAAGAAGAUCUCGGAUCAAAGACCAAGCGGUACUGAAUUUACUAUGGUUGCCCAGAAUCCAUAUCAUCAAACACCACGUAUUUUCUUCAAGACAUUUGCAUUUCUCACCCCAUUUGAAUAGCAAAUAAGCUAACUUCCAUUGAUCUCUCAACUCCCAAAUCACCAAAAAGACCAACUCUUGGUUCGGUUUAACCCCACAUUCAUCAAGAAACAAUAUGGCUUCAUCUCCUGAACCAAAAUUACUGGCCUUUUGUACAAUCCCAACAAAUUCGUUAACACCAACAUGAUACUUUUCACGCAAUGUAUUCACACGCUUAUCGAAGUUGAUGAUUUCGUAGCUAGUGGAACUGCCAGAGCUAAAGAAAGGGAGCUUGGACGGUAUAGUUGAACAGUGCCUGACAGAUGGUUGACGAAAUGCCACAAAGAAAUGACGCCUUAUUUCCGGCCGCGCGGCAAAUAAUGAAGGAUGCUGAUAGCCGAUUAUAUGCUUAAAAGCGAUGGGACGAGCACUGUAUAGCCUUCGUGCAAUAGAGAGCAACCGCAUUAUUUUUCUCAGUUUACAGUGGAGAAAGAAAUCUCCAUGCUCCAAUGGCUCAAACAAGCCUUCGUUAGCUCAAGUCUACAUAAACCACUGGACUUUAACAAAUUGGAUGCCAGCCCAAAACCAAUUUGAUUAGGCCCAUGAAAAAUAGGAGAAAAAAAUGUAAAGAAAAGCCUUGGCAUGUGAUUACACGCUUCAAUGCAGUCUAGUAUUUGUUGUUUUCAACUUGUAUCCAUCUCAAUUAUUUUAUGAGUUAUAUUUUAUUAGUGUAUAACUUUACAUAUUCAUAUCAUUUAUUUAACCAUUAGGUCGUAUUUUUAAAAAAAAUAUUUUGAGUAACCAAGAUUUCCAAAAAAAAGAAUCAUUUUAAGAUUGGAAAGUAAAAUUUUAAAUAGAAAUUGAAGGUACCCAAUUAUUGUUGCACAAAAUUAUACUAGUCCACUAGACAAUAAUAAAAUGAAGCGUUGUUUGCACCACGAGCAAGUGAACACGUGCCGUGAGUGAAGGGGGUGCACGAUAAGCCCACUCAGCUGCUCUGCUCAAGACUCAAAAUGAAUAGCCUCUUUCUUUAUUUUUGUUGGUAAGUACUGGCAAUACAAAAUCGAUAGGGUUUAAGGGUUUUAGGGAGAAAGGGAAACAAAUGGAGAAGAAUAUGGCAAGUGAAGCGAAGAAGAUGAAUGGAGCAGGAGGAGGAGGGUUUAGGGCCAAAUUGGAGCAUGUAUUAUAUAGCGGUGAGAAGAAGCACGUAUUCGGUGGCAUCGCCGUCAUUGGCGUCCUCUUCGGUGUUCCCUGGUACUUCAUGACCCGAGGUUCGUCAUUCUAAUUACCCUUUUAUUGCAAUUAACUGUUAUUGAAUUCAAUUACUAUCUCGAUCUCAAAUUGAUUGGACUAAAUGUAUGAAUCCUUCAUAUCUAAUUGUCCCCAUAUUCAAUAACAAGUUGUGCAAUUUUUCUCCUACCCAGAUUGCUUCCAUUUGUAUCUGACUUCCUUUUAUUUGAUGUAAGAGGUUGAACUUACCAUGAAUGCCUCGGAUCCAUAUUCUUUUGUAACUUUGCUGUUCGGGCCAGCUUCCGCGUGCCUAGACUAAUUCCACAAUUACCUGCUACUCCUACCAACUAAUAGCACAAGUAUUUCUGUGUGUCAAGGCUUGGAUUGAUGGAAAUAAAUAAGCUAGAAGGGAUUUGAACCUGAGACAUAAUUGGGUCUCUACCUACUUCAUUGACCACUAGACCACAUCCUUAGUUUCCCAGAAUCCUCUUCUAUCGUGUUGCAUUUUCUCUGGCGGACCCCCCCCCGGUCCAUCCAUACGUAUUUUCAUGGAGGCAUGGUGAUUAGAAAAUAAGCCUACUUACACUGGUCUCUCACCCCUCAAAUUAGUCAUCAAAAAGAUCAAGUUUUGUCUUGGCGUAAUGCCAUAUUCAUCAAGAAAUAAUAUGGAUUCAUAUCAAACUAGUUGGGUUGAUGUAUAUGAAAUCUCAAUAUCCAAUUAUUUUGUUCGGGGCUACUUCUCUGUAGGAUUUAAAUUUUGUGCCAUCAAAAUUACUUACCUUUAAUCUGAUUCCCUUCUAUUUGUAACCCUGUUUCUGAUCUGAGACUUCUAAAACAUGAAAAGCAAAAAAGAGAAUUUUCUCCCAUACCAAGCAUCAAAAGAAGUUCAAAUUUUACCCUAGUAUAGCUUAAAAUGAAAAAAUGCCUCUAAAGAUAGAGAGAUCAUCAGUAUUUAGGUAAUCUCUGAUUUAGUGACGAUGUGAACCAUUUUCUCCUCUGCUGUAGACUUUGCCUCAUUAUUACUUAUUGUUUCUCAUAGUGCUGGUCCCUUUGCUUUACCGGUAAACAAAAUAGAAUUGGUGAUGAUUAACACAUAUCUUGCUUGUUUGUUGCAAUAAGACGAACAAUGAUGGUAUUGUUUGAUGUUUCCAUGAGCCAAAGUUGUGUUAGAACGAGCUAUGAGCUGUCGGCUGCUGCGUAUUUUGCUGCUUCACUUCAAACAGAUGUUACUUCAAGUGUGCUCCAUAAGAAGAUAAAACAUAAGAUAUUUUCUGUUUAUGGUGGUGGGUUAGGGAGGAGUCUUUUGGGUUGUUUGUUGAUUUCCUCAUGGAUUGAAUCUGUCAAUAUGUCUACGUCAAGAGAAACAAGUAUGUGUAAAUGCAAAUUGUUAGAGUGGAUUAGAGUUCCACAUCAGUUGCAGAAUGGACGGGUGGUUUACUUAUAUGGAUCUAUGCAAUCCUCCAUUCAUGAACUAGCUUUGGGGAUUGAGUUAGGCUCUCAAGUACUAUAUCUUUACACUAAUAAUAUUAAGGCAACACGUGACUUUUUUUUUAUAACUGAGAAAUCCUUAGGACUAGUGGCGCACAGUUUGAAAAUCGGCAGUUAAUGAACCCACCCCUCUAUCCUUCACUUGAUGAGGUUGGACUGUUAUUCACUCUAAAUAAGGUUGAAAUGUAAGGAAUUCACUCCAUUUUACAUAAUUGAGUGAAACUGGAUUAGUUGAUAUGUAUAUAGUAAGAGAAUUCAUGAGAAACAGAUGUUUACACGCCCAUGCACAUAAAAUUUCACUCUUUUGUAGUUCUAAAAAAGCUUCAUCUCAUGAAAAAGAUUGUUGGUAUAGCUGCACCUCAUUCCAGCUAAAAUAAUUUUGUAACUUUUGUAGUUGUAAUGUUGUGCCUCACUUAGUCAUUUUAAGAUUCUCUAGGCGAUAGAGUGUGCUGAUAUCUGAUUUUGUUUGUCGAUGGCUUCUAUUGUUAUGGGAUUUUUUUAGGUCAAAUCUAUUGAAACUUGAAAGCACCUAGCCAAUAGUUGUACAUAAAUUGAUAACUAAAAGAAAAGAAUUUUAAAAAUUGAUAUCUAAAAAGAUAUUGAAUCCUAACAGUUGCCAUAAGCAUAAAGCCGUCCAAAAUAGUUACCCAAUCAUGUAUGCUUAUGACUUUGCAAGGUCACUAUUUUCUUCAUCUAUUUGUAUGGAGUAAUGUUAAUUCAAUUCCAAAAUGGUCAAUUCAGCUUGUGGACCAACUUUAUACAAUAUUGUACAUCUUAUGGAGCUGUUCUUAUCACUACUUGGAGUGGUAUUGUGAUUGUUUUUGCUCUAUUCGAGUAUUCAAAUAUAAAGAAAUAAUAAAUUGGUGAACAAUGCUUAACGUGUUCACCCUUGAUACUAAUAAGGGUUCUAUUGUUACUCAUUUGCUGUCUGACCCUCUUCGAAGCUUUCUUACCCUUUCCCCUUUCAUCCUUUUGCUUUCUUUGUAAUACUUGUUCUGUUGAGAAAGGAAGAUCAACCACUUUACGGGCUAUACACAAUGUAUUGUGUCCCUCUUAACCUUUCUAUCAGCAUUAUUGUCAUAAAAUAUAUUUGUGUUCCAGAAACUCCACUUCAUGUGUGGAUAUGGGGAAG
rnacentral:lncRNA from 1 species